UCUCUUUUUUUUUGGUAUACCUCUGACGAUUCUUGUAGGGCCUUGUUUAGUUCCGAAAAGAUUUCGGUACUGUAGUAUUUUCGUUUUUAUUUGACAAAUAUUAUUCAAUUAUAGACUAACUAGGCUCAAAAGAUUCAUCUCGUGAUUUAAAAGCAAACUGUGUAAUUAAUUUUUGUUUUCAUCUAUAUUUAAUGCUUCAUGCAUGUACCGCAAAAUUCGAUGUGAUGAAAAAUCUUGAAAACUUUUUAAAUUUCGGUGGAAACUAAACUGGCCUAGGUUCAUAUCAGGAUAAGGUCAUGCACACCGGCACACCGCACAUCUUGACCCUUUUGAGAUGUCCGUUCUUGAAGCAACCUUUUGGUCUCACUGCUUCAGAUCAUUCAAAUGUAUCGUCUGUCUGAGCGUAGGGGUAGCGAACAAAGGUGACACCUUUGAGUUCAGCAAACAUAUCAUCGUAGAACAAGAAAGCGACACAAACCGAGCAUAGUGUCACAACUCACAACACAAAAGAUAUCUGCAUUUUUCAAAUAUUUUUUGUACAGAUUUAAUACACAUACAUAUUGAAUUGUUUUCGCAUACAAAAUAAAUUGUUUCUGAACUCUCUAUAUUGGACUCUUGAGACAAUCUCCUUGCAAUUCAUAAGUGCAGCAUGAAGAAACAUUGUUACAGAUGACUAUCACUUGCGGCCAUCAACUUACAAAACUUUGACAACAUACCCUUUUUACUACAGACAUGACAGGGCUCAAUGCCUUUUGCUGUAUAGUUGUCCUUGAGAAAAUAAUGAAGUCGACCUAGAAGUCCAAAAAUUUUUCAAUCUCUGAAGCAAAAUUGCAGUAGAGUUGAUCAGUCAGGGCUGAACAUAAAUCUAUCUCAACGCGGCAACAUUGCCAAGAUGUCUUCUUUGUGCUGCAUACAGUAGUACACCAAAAUUGCAAGAAUAAUAACUAGUAGCAUGGGCCAUAUGCUUGUUCCUGUCAUGACACAACCAUCCAUUUUUAGUAUAGGGCUUGCGGUUAGUGGCUGGAAAAAACAAAUCUAUGAAUUAAAGAUGCAACAUACCAUUACUCUUCGGGGACCCAACAGAUGUCACCCUUGCAGAAGAGUCAAAGGAAGUUGACAGCAAUGUUCUGAAAUGAUAUAAAGCAACUACAUUGAGAAAUUGCAUUUUUUUUUCUUUAGAUUCGUCAACUCGAAGUUCAAGAUAAUAACCUUGAAUCCUGGGAGAAGGCCAGUGUAGUAACAAUACCAAGAUGAGCCUUUUUAACUGUUACAAGUGUCCGCAUGUCUUUUGAGCUCAGUAUGAUGAUGCUUCCUUCAAUUGUUCCACUAGAAACCGAAGGCAGACAAAUAAAAUUUUCAAGAAAAUAAGCAAUGGUAUCUCUACAAGAUUAUUAAGAAAUAAGACCAAGGGGAUCUUUCCAAUCUCACAUUCCAAGAAGAGCGCCGUUGGGUGACACAGCAAAAGCUGAAAUGGCCUCACGAGUUAUUUUCUUUGAACCGAUUCUCGUCCAUGAGGUAGUAUUCCAAGAUACUAUUUUUCCAUAAUCACCUAAAAAGCAAUAUUAUUCAGGUAUUGUCAGACCUUAAGCUUGCUGUCUAGUUCAAUUUGUAACUAGGUCAAGUACUCAAGUUCAUCUUAAUGCCAACCUUGCAUCACUGUUAUAAAUAGGACAUGACUGUUGUCAGUCUUAUUACAGAAUCUGCAGAAUCCAAAUAUUUCCCCCUGAAAAUGUACAGAUCAAAACUCUCUUGAAACAAGACAAAAUCAUUAAAAUAAUGCAUUUCGUCCAAGAAAGGAACUCACUGCUUCUCUUGACAGACUGGCUACAACUUCAGAUGACUGCAGAUCCCAAACUCUACAUGGCCCGCUGCUCCUAUUCACAGCAAGAAACUUCUCAUCGGAACUGAAAGCAUGGACCAAAGCAGAGGAACCCAUCAGUAUCGUGCAAACAAUAUUCAAGUGGGAAGAGUUUAGUGAUCAUUUAUUUACCUGAUGGUAAGAUCCUUAAUCGAUGUUUUAGUAUCAGUUUCUGUGAGAACAGACCCCAUAGCAGGCCACUUGAAGACUCUUAAAUGCCCAUCCUACAAAAGGAAAGAAAGAAAUGAACAUGUCAAUAACCAUAAGAUUUCAGUGCCAUAACAGAAAGACCAAGAGAACCAGGAAAAUCACAUAUGAACCAUGACAAAACCUCAAAGCACAAAUGCAAGACCAUACUGAAAAGUUAUCUACUUAAAUGGAGGCAAACCAGAUUUGUCUUUUUAUUAUAAUGUAAAGCAAGAAUAAAUAUAAGUGCUCAAAGACUGUUCUGCCAGAAGGAAAUGACUAUUAAGAAGUCAACAAUGGAUAAAACCUAUUGAAACUGAUAAGCACAUCUUUGGUUUUAACGGUAAAUUAAGGUGAUGGCACAAACAUGUAUAAAACAAGAACAUAUCAUAAAAAGUGCAUCUCAAGAACUACUUAAUGUGGAUAGCUGGUCCUAGAUCCCUAUGUCCUUGGUUGUCUGAGGCGGCUGGUCGUGUUUCCCCAGUAUAUUUUCUAGAGUGUUGUUUUUUCUAAACCCCGUGGGGAUGCCUGGGAGGGGGUUUCUUACUUCCCUCCCUUGUGUCAUUUUAUUCUUCUUAAUGAAAUGGCAUGCAGCUCUCGCACGUAAUUCAAGGGGGAAAAAGAACUACUUAAUGUUGUUUGAUAUCUCCAUAUGUAAAGACAUAAAGUAAAAAAUAAUUUCAUUCAAAACUACACUGGCUGUACUUUCUAGCCAAAGAUUUCUGUACCAUGUCGACCAUGAAACAAGAAUCCCUUUGCCCAACAUAAACAAUAUACACCAACCUUAGGUACUCAGUAUCAGAAUCCCCCAUACAUAAUAUUGUAGCAAAUGAUUAUUAAGUUGACAAAAUGAGCAAAUUGUUUGGCUACAUUAGUCGGUACUAACAAAUGUUGCUUAUGAUGACCAUAGUCUAUACAAUUUUUCUGCAUGAAGCAAUGAAAGAUAAUAUUUUUAGUACACCUAGAAAUUACUAAGCUAACAUAUCUUUCUAAGGCAUUUUUUUCCAUUUAUGAUGUCAGACUCAGAAGAACAAAUAAAGUUGAAAGUUACUUAAAUGCAUUCCAAACUAGGUACUCGAAGUGCCUAUAGUUUUCCCUAUGGAAAAUGUCAAAUAGGAAAGGAAAUAAAAAGAAGGUAAAUACUAAACCUACCGAGAGUUACAAAAAGUAAAAUGCAAUGGAAAAGUACGCCAUAUGUUAACUUACCUCACCACCAAUGGCAAGUAUUGAACCUUCUCCACUGAAGGAUACGGCCAACUGCAAACCAACAUCUUUCAGCUCCGCUAAAGCUUCCUGGUCUGGCUCCAAGGCCAGGUUCUGUGGUCCCUCUCCUUCCUGUGAUUCCCAUCGGUACAACCUACAUGAGUGUUUUCGUAGUUAAAAAUUAUGAAAAAAAACAAACUUUUCAGCCAAGUUCAAUUAUUUAUUGUUCACAGGAAUACAAAACAAUGCAGCAUUAUCUUGUUGUAGAAUAUAAGAUGAUGGCAAAGCAUAUAAGGUACAUUUUGUAGCUGAUACUUUCUGAACCAGAAACACAUCUAUACUAACAAGUAACAACUAAGAAAUCUCAAAGUAUACUUCAUGUUAGACCACAAAAACCAGAUUGUAAGGGAUUUAAUUACUCCUACUAAGGAAACAGAAAAUAAUCAAGCACGCCCAAAAUACCACCUUUUACUAGCAAGUAUCAACAGUAGAUAAGCUAUCUUCUUGAAUAUCAUGGCUUCGGCUACUAUAUACAAGACAAUUCACAAAUACCUUCGCUUCAGGUCAUGUCACUUGUUACUAGCAAGAUUCCACAUUAGAUGUUAUCUUCGCAGAUGGAGUAGUUUAUAUUGAAUACCACCCAUUAUCUAGACUAGACAAUGAAUGGAGGCGACAAAUGACAUUCGGAUCAUUUGUGCAUAUCAGAAUACAGAACCAACCAAUACAUUAGCACGCAGCGCAGGGUACAAACCCAAAGGAUAUGAUCCGAGGGGGUGAGGGUGCAUACCUGCAGCCGUUGGGGAAAGCGCAGAACACGCCAUCGCCGCGCGGGUGUACAGCCAUUCUGUACGGCACCUCCUCUUGGGUCUUCACCUCAAGCACCUGCCCACCACCACGGAAUGCCGAAAUCAGCACGAGACACUGAGCCCCACCCUAGAUCGGAGCGGGAUCUGGGAGGACGGAUCGCUCACCGUCUCGGGGGAAAGGGCGGCCGGCGCGGCGGCCUCUUCCCCGGCGGCGAGGGCCGCCACCACGAGCUUGUUCGGCACCCCGCUCCGGCCCUCCCCGCCGCCGCCCCCGAGGACAGCCAUAGGGGGCGGGGGAGAGGAGGGGGAGGAGGAGGCAGCAUCCGCGUCCGCGUCCGCGUCCGCCUCGGCGGCGGGAGGGUCGGGCUUGAGGAUGUGGGCGAGCGGGAGCCAGGCGGCGCAGUAGAUCGGGAAGCCGUAGGACUGGCUACCGCCGCCGCCGCGAGUCGCCAUCGCGCGGAGAAAGGUGGGGGUGAGGAGCGCCCGGGUGCCGGAGGGGAGGUGGGCCGGUGGCGGUCGCAGUCGCGGUGGCCGCCGGUGGGGACGCGCGGCGGACGGUGGAGGGGAGAGCGUGGCUGGUGACGGGAAUAUUAACGCGGCUGUGUAAAGUUCCGUUUGGGUGGGUUGACCACUUGACCUCGAGAAGAGAUGGGUUUUCUUCGCUUCAAAGUUGGGCCGUAUAAUCGAGGAUCUUUUGGUCAAAACUAUAAAAAAAAAUGUAAGAAGGGACGGUAUGAUUCGUAUAAUCGAGUUUUGUUGUAAUAAAAAAAAAUUAUAAUGUACUAGGAUCAUCAACCUGUCAUGUAUACUGGUGAGGUGUACAGAUUCUCUAUAAAUCACCUAUUUUAUUAUUAAGUAGUGCACCACACAUUCAUGUUACUUCAUCAAUGUUUAAUCUCUCUCUCAUUUAUUUUUUCAUAAAAUAUAACUUUUUUUCUUAUGCUACGGCAAGAAGCAUAAAUUGUUGAAAUUUGACUGCACAAAGAUGAGAGAUUUUACAAGUUGACACAUUUUAGCCUUGUCUUGCCUACCACUUCUGCACCCUGUAGGUGCUCUUGCACCAUUGCCACUCUUGCUCCCACACACCUCCACAAAAUGGGGACCGCCAUAGCCACCGCUCCCAUUGCCAUCCUAAGUCCAGGGGCGCAAGUGAUAUUGAUUGACUAAUCCCAGCUUAUCCUCAUAAAUGUCUAUAGUUGAUGGUUGCCGCAUUGUGUCUAUGGUGAUCGGUGAAGACAUCUUUCUUUUGUCGUGGAGAUGUUCACCUCGUUUUUACCUAUUUGCAUGGUCGGGCUCCUAGUCACGUUGUUGGUCCUCGUCUGUUGUCUAUUAUGUUGGGCAUUUCCUCUUUUCUUGACCUCUACCUCCACCGUUAUCAUAGAGUCCCUCCUCAUCCUUUGUAGGGACACUAGGACAUGGACCAUAUGUUUAUCAUUAGGCUUAUAAUAGAUGUAUUUGUAUGGUAAAUGUAUGAGUACAUCUUUUUUUUUUUAGGAAACUGAAAGGGCCAAGGCUUCUACGUAUGAGACCUCUAUCUAAAUUAAUGUGUGGAGAAUUUUUCAAACUCGUUUUUAUUCGCAAAAUGCACUUGUGCCACUCUGUUUGCUUGAGCUUAUCUGCUGAAUCUGCCAGCCAUUCAGCAGUAUUUUUCUCUUAUAAUAAAUCAGCGAACAACACUUUCAGUAAUGACUUUUCAAACAAACGAACAAGCUUGAACCAAGUGGCAUGAUCGUGGGCAGCGCGUGCGCUCGGUAAACAGUUUUUUUUUCAUUCUCACUAGUACUUUGAGCCUUCAUGAUAUGCCAAUGCUUUUGACGGCAUUAAAAAAGGGUAUAUGGAUUUAUUACAAUGUACAUACAUAUUUACUAGUAAUAAAUACUUAUAAACGUAAGAAAGUGCAUGUGUACAUGAUUUGUGCGUGAAAAAGUUCUUGCUUUGAAAAUUUAUUUUGCACGACAAUAGUUUGACGUUAAUUUCAUCCAACUAGUCAGAUCGGACGGUUGACAUUCACUGUUGCAAUCGCAAAAGUCCAUACGGCCCGGCCGCCCCCAAACAAAACCUCACCCUUCUCUUAUCCGCCGCAACGGCCGCCCGCCGGCCACCACCUCCACACCCCCCCUCACCGGCGAGAUGCUGACCUGCGGCCGCUUCAUCUCCUCCUCCGCUGCUACCAGCACCGCAUCCUUCUCGCCGUUUCGGACUCUCACCCGCUCCCUCCUUCGCCGCCCCGCUCCCCGCCUCCUCUCCUCUGCCUCCGCCGCCGCCGCCGCCGCCACCGCCGUCGAACCCGACACCAAAGGUAAUAGAUUUAACCUUCACUCUUCAUCUCAACGACGUACAGUUAUCUAAGCUUCCGUUUUUCCUUUCAGGCGGCGGUGGCGCGGGAGGUGCUGCUGCUGCGGUGAGGCCGCAGUGGAAGGCGGCGAUUGAUUUCAAAUGGAUCCGGGAUAACAGGGACGCCGUGGCCGACAAUAUCCGGAGCCGGAACUCCACCGCCAAUCUGGACCUCGUCCUCGAGCUCUACGACCAAUACCUCGCACUGCAGAAGGUCUGGGGCUUGCCAAUGCCGGAGCUUUUUGUUGAAGCUGUUUUUGCUGUCUGACUGUGCUGCGCUAGAUUCGUUGAUGAUAAGCUUGCGCUGUAUAGGGUCAGGUUCUAGUGCGUGGAUUUUGACUUGUGCGGCCCAGGGGUAUGUACUAGAUGGUUGCUCUUUGCUAGGAUUUUCCUCUGAGCUUAUAUUUGAACUGUAGUUUUAGAUGUCCUAUAAUAUGACUGAUGAACUGGCACGGUUUUAUUUCAUUAAGUAUCUAGUUGGCGUGGCUGUUGCGUCUCCUGUAUUUGUCUUGGCAACAGAAGUUUGAAACAGAACUCAAAAGGCUGAACAUGGAUCAGGAAUUCAGGAUAGGAUAUUUGUAAUAUGAUUCAGGUUCUUUUGUCCAUUGAAUUUCCAUUCAAUCAUACAACACCUGAGUUGCAUGCAGAUCCAAUGUUCACAAAAAAUGACUUACAGUACAUUUGAAGAAAUCAAUUGCCCAUGAAAGUCAAAUCUACGAAUUCAUACAGACCCUGUACUUUUUAUGGAGCUCUCUUUCAGAUAUACCUUGUUCUGCAUUACAUUCGGCAACUAUUGAAUUGCAGUGAACGUGUAUAUAUUCUUUCAAUCUUUAGUUGGUUUUGGUUGGCCUUUAACUGUUUUCAGACUGUGCUCUUAGCAAUUUAUCAUUCAUGAUAACAAAGCUAAGUUGCAAAUUUUUUAUGAUCCUUAUGAUUCUUGUUCAUGUGGUGCACACCUGCCCCUUUAAAUGGUUCAUUCUAAACUGCUUAAGACAUGUGCGAUAGUUAGAUACAGUAGCUGUCUAUAUAUGCACUUGAUGAACACAAUUUAUUCAGUUCCAGAAUGUAAUAUGGUGGUAACAGAACGAUGGCAACAAUUCCUAAUUAUGACAGAUGGCAGGAGGUUGAACGGCUCCGAGCUGAAAGAAAUGCAGUUGCUAACAAGAUGAAAGGGAAACUAGACCCAUCUGUACGCCAAGCCCUUGUCGAAGAAGGUAGAAUGAGUAGUUUAUUCAAGCAUGGAGAUAAGGAUUUACCACUAUAUUUGUUUUAACCAUUUUGAGUUACUACAGGUAAGAACCUGAAAGAGGGGCUUAUAGCACUUGAGGAGGAUCUUGUUCAGCUGACAGAUAAGCUUCAACUUGAAGCUCAAAGUAUUCCUAACACUACCCAUCCCGAUGUUCCUGUUGGGGGUGAGGAAAGCUCUGUCCUCAGGAAAGAGGUAAGUGUUGUUUUAUACUUCCUGCUGCCUUUCUACUUUGUACAUUUGAUAAUUUAUUUUGAUUGAACUGUGUAGGUAGGCAGUCAGAGGAGCUUUAAUUUUACAAUCAAAGAUCAUCUUCAGCUGGGGAAGGAACUUGAUUUGUUUGACUUUGAUGCAGCAGCCGAGGUAUUAAUUGCGACAACUUUCACUAACACUAUAUACAUUUUAUGUUUGGCAACACACUGCAGCAAGUUGUUCAGUAAGAUAUUUCGGAUACACCUAAAAAUUCAAACUGCAUGAUGUCAAGUAAAUAAAAAACUCGACCAUGGAUGACGUCAAUUAAAUAGAUCUAAAAUUCUCUGAAAACUUAUCUAAGUAAAUUUGCCUUGUCUUAGUGAAAGGGUCUGUAGUCUAGUGGCACAAUAACCUUAGUAACCUGGGUGUGACUCCCCUGUGGGAGUGAAUUUAAACAGGCUUGGGUUAGAAAUACCCUUUGUUGGCUGUGUUCCUGAGCUAUAUGUGUAACCAUUUGAGUCGUUUUCAGUGAGAUACAAAAUGGCCACAGACAUGUGUCCUGGGCGCUCAGUGGCAUGUCCAAGGCAGCCGACCUUUGGGGUGUUUUUACACCUAUGUUUGUUCUUAAUGCAAUGCCGUGGGGGUUUCCCUCAUGUAUCGAUUUUUUGCUUUUAAGUUUCUAUAUAAGUAGAUUUGUUAUUUAGUAUUUGUAAUAAAUGUUUGUACUGUGUUGCACAGGUCAGUGGUUCGAAGUUCUACUACUUAAAGAAUGAAGCUGUUUUGUUGGAGAUGGCCCUAGUGAAUUGGGCUAUUUCAGAGGUCUCCAAGAAGGGUUUCACACCACUCAUAACUCCAGAGAUUGUAAGAUCAUCUGUUGUUGAGAAAUGUGGCUUCCAGCCAAGGGCUCAAAACACUCAGGUAUGAACUCUCCUGGUAAGGAUGGUAUUUAACAUUUAGUUAUUUUGUAUCAUAAAAUACAUGAUAAUAGCCAUUUUAACACAUUCUUUGGUCUAGUGACUUGUUUUUAUUCUUACAUUAUGUUUGCAUUAUCAGCUAUUUGGUAUUUUGGAUUAGACCCUGGAAUCACAACAUAGUUUCUGUUUUGGGCAUUGAUGGAGUCGUUGAAACAUAAUGCUAGCCACUAUUUCUAUUUUAAUAUAUGUAUUAAAAAUGACGGUGAAGUUAUAUUAUUAUGAAAAUGAAAUUACCAUUUGAGAUAAAUAUAUUCAUAUAAUCCAAAAAGAUAUCAUACCCAAAUUUUAGAAAAUUUGACCACAUGCGACCCAAAAAUUUCAACCUUGCCUGACUAAAAUAUUUGAUUGCCCGUGAUACGUUGCUGUGGUAUUAUAUGCUGUUCCAUUUAACCAUUUCAGUUCCUUCUAGGUUCCAGAUACAUUUUUAGGUGUUAUUGUUUGACGUGUACUAACAUGAUUGCUUGCACUUUGCUCUGCAGGUCUACUCAAUUGAGGACAGUGAUCAGUGUCUCAUAGGCACUGCUGAAAUUCCUGUUGGAGGCAUCCACAUGGACUCAAUACUUGCUGAAUCUGCUUUGCCUUUAAAAUAUGUAGCAUAUUCACACUGUUUUCGCACGGAAGCUGGUGCAGCAGGUGCUGCCACUAGGUUGGUCUGUUCUCCUUUUACCUUAGGUUACUGUUUUGCUUAUUGAUUUAUGAUGAAGAUUUACCAUUGUACGAGUGUAUAUUUGCUUCUAUUUUUCGGAUGCUUCAAAACUGUGAUAAAAGCAAAUUUUCACAUCCUCUGCAUUGCGAUUAAUUUUACAGUGUGUUUGUUAAGUUGCUAAAUUUAUCAUUUUAUUAUGAACAGGGGCCUCUAUCGGGUACAUCAAUUUAGCAAGGUUGAAAUGUUCAUAUUCUGUCGGCCAGAUGAAAGUGACAAAUUGCAUGAAGAACUUAUUACAAUCGAAGAGGAUCUUUAUGCAUCACUCGGACUCCAUUUCAAGUGCUUCCUAUUCCUUUUAAUUUCUGUGCCAUGCCCAUUUUUGAGACGAAAUUCCAUGCCACAGCUGUACUAAUGCCAGUGCCAACGUUCCCCUUUUAUAGAACUCUGGAUAUGGCAACCGGGGAUCUGGGCGCACCAGCCUACCGAAAAUUUGACAUCGAGGCAUGGAUGCCAGGCCUAGAGCGAUACGGUGAGGUAAGGGGCAAGUUUACCAAGCUUGUAUACGUCUUCUCAACAUUUCCUUGAAUCAUGCUGAUGAUUCCUGAUCAAACUUUGCAGAUCUCCAGUGCAUCAAAUUGUACAGACUACCAAAGUAGGCGACUUGGCAUCCGUUACCGUCCAUCACCCUCGGAGCCUCCGUCAACGAACACCAAGAAAGGGAAGGGAGCUGGCUCAGGCCCUACACAGUUUGUUCACACGCUCAACGCAACAGCAGUGGCGGUGCCUCGUCUGAUAGUCUGCAUUCUAGAGAAUUUUCAGCAGGACGAUGGGUCGAUUGUGGUUCCAGAGCCACUAAGACCCUAUAUGGGUGGACUUGAGGUGAUCUCCCCAAAAUUCGAGUGACCCUCUACAGUCACCCACGGUUGUGCUUGUGGACUUAGAGCUGUCUACAAAUAUACACUACUGAGUUUUGUGAUUGGGGCUCCUGUUUCAUAACUAGUCUUAUCCCCCCCCCCUGUUUUUGAAUAGCACUCUAAUCUGCUGGUGCACAUUAUAUUGGCCAACUACUGUAAUCUGCAUAGCACUACAAACUCAUGUGCAUGAUUUAGCUUUGAGUAAAUUGCACUAUAGGUCCUUAAACUUUCGAUGAACUCCCAUCUAGGUCCUCGAACUAAAAAAGAUAUCAUCUGGGACCUGAAACAAUCUAUCUUUCGCACCAAUGAUCCAAACCAUGCCACGUGCGCGUCGUGAGCUGACGUGGACAUGCCACUAUGAAGACAAGACUCUGGAGACUCGGGCCUGUUGCCCACUUUGCAAGGCUCCAUCUCUCUAUCUCACUCCUAAGCUCUCGUCUCUCCUCCUGUGCGUGCAGGAGGCUGUCAGUUUGGGCUCUGAUGCGGAAGCGUGCUGGCCACCCGCUGCCGUGCUCUACUCGGGCCUACCAGAACACACAAGUGGCAGAGUUUGUGGCCGCAGCUGCUGGCUUCGCAGUGGUGGCUUGAAGUGCUUGUGGUCAAAGUUCGGUAGUAGGGUCACGGCGGUGCUCGCUAGGGAGGCAGCGUUGAGGAGGGCCACAGGGUGCACUGUUGUGCCAAGGAUGAAGGAAGUGUGCUCUCGGACUUGAACAUCGGGAAAGGCAGCAGCAGCUUCAACGCAGAUCCGGCCGACACAGUUCCUCAACAAAUCGACGCGGUAGGGAAGAUUAGGGGGGGGGGGGGGGGGACGACAUGGACGACAAAUCCAUGCUAGAACGGUUUGGGUGCUUUAAAACCAUCCCCGGAGCAGAGCGCUAUGCGAGCCCGUCCUAGCCAUGGUAGGGGCCGACGAGGCGAGGUGCUCUUGCGCGCCAUAGGUGCUGGACAAAGCAUAUGGUAACCAUGACUUUCUUAAAACAAGAUACUAUAGAUGCAAGUACUCAACUUCACGCACAUACAGUCACAUCUAUAUAUCUUACAAACGCCCACCCACGGAACAAAAUGAGAACAUUCAAGAGGUCGGCUGGCACAUCUUGAUAUUGACAAUGUAAUGUGGUAUUAUCUACGUAUUAAUCAAGUAUUUGGAUGUAGUUAUGGUUCAUUUUUUAAUUGAUUAUAUGCAAAGAAGAAAAUUACAAAAUAGACUCAGAUAAACCUCAAUCAAUGUAUUGAUUAUUUUUGGGAAGUUGCACACACUGAUACAAGAACAUUAUUAUCAAGUACAACUCUUCUGUAUUCUAGAAGAUGGCACCUCCAAUGAUGGGUUGCUGCCACAACAAGGAAGGGUUCAUGAAAGACAUCUGGUUGAAUGGCAGCAAUUGUUGUUGCUGUAGGAAGGUGGCCGCCAAUGGGUUAGCCAGUGCCAAUGGGUUAACCUGUAGCAGCUGUUGUUGCUGGUGGUAGGUGGCAGCGGUUGCAACAGCCGACUGAGCAAAUGGAAGUGACUGUGGCUGUUGUAGGUAUGCAGCGGCGUUCGACACAGCUAGUUGGUUGAAUGGAAGUAGCUGUUGCUGUUGAAAGUAGGCGAUAGGGUUCACCACGGACUGUUGUAACUGUUGUUGUUGUUGUAGGUAUGCAAUGGCAUUCACCGCAGCCAGUGGGUUUGUAGGAAGUAGCUGUUGCAGCUGCAAGUAGGUGGCAGGGUUUGGAAUAGCUAGUUGACUGAGCGCUGGUAGGAACUGUUGUUGUUGUAGUUGCGCUACAAUGGUCUGUACUAGUAGGUGAGCCGAGGAUUGCUGUUGCAAUUGGGCAAUUGAUUGUUGUAAGAUGCUCGCCGCGAGCACUUGUUGUAGCCGAUAGGCCUGCACAACUGGGUGUUCAUACCCAACAGCAGUAACUGGUGAGCACUGCGGAAUGAUGAACGCACUUGUAGCACUCACCGUGAGAGCAAGGAGUGCAAGGAGGGCAAAUAUCUUGGCAGCCAUUGUUUCUAAGAUGUUGCUAGUGCGUUUCACUUGGCAACUUUCUAAUUGCUCUCAAUGAUAUGGGUGGUGGAUUAGCUAUCGAUUUGGGCCAAUUUAUACAAGUGAGAGUUCAUGCAUAUCUAUUCAGAUCUCGGAGUUUACUAAAAAAUAGAUGAGCAUGAGAUGACAUGGCACCUAGUCAACUUCGGUGCUUAGUUAUCUAUUUUGUUGGAUUAUAUGGUAUGUGUUGGCAAGAUAGUGUCGAUUAUGUGCUAGGAAAAAGUGCCCUUUUCUAUAGGAGUUCUCUAGAUACACGAGGAAUGGCAUACAUGAUAACUUCACCUUUAUGCAUGACAAAGCCUUAGCCACAUCAUAUUUGUUAGACUUUAUAAACAUGAUGAGUAUGUAAAAUUAUGAUUUGCUCAUGUGAAUCGAAGCCUUUAUCAACAGAGUUUGUUGUAGCAUCGUCCUUAUGGUUGAAGUAUACAAUGUAAUUAUGUGAGAAGUUAUCAACCAGCGAAUGAUCAAUAAUGCUGCAAGGCCACGACUCAUUGAAGUCUCAGUAUGUCUAAAAUGCAUGCGCAUGCAAAGAAUCUAAAAAAUUGGCAUGCGCAUGCUCAUUACUAUCUUGGCCACUACCACAUACUCCCUUUGUUCUGGAGCACAAUUUAGUUUAUUUUUGUGUAAAAGCAAGCUUGUCUAACUUUGAAAAAGUUUUACAUUAGUUUUAACAACAAAAAUGCACUAUCAAGACAUAAUGACAUAUGCAACGAAACAAAGUGAUGUUCAAGGUUUUUGGUAAAUUUCUAUGAAAUAUGUCAAAGUUAGGUAAGAUUACCUUAGGGAAAAGAUAGAGCAAGUAAUAAAUUGGAGCGGAGGAGGUAUAUGUUGAACUCUACCUCUUGACUCAAAUAGAUGUGCAUCUAAUUUUCACUAAAGUCAAACUUAAAUUAUUUCCAUAUAGUAAGGAGAAUGAUAAAUUUGAUGCGGCUUUUGUUCCUUCCACCACCUAUGAUAUGAAUCUGCCUUCAAUAUACAGGUGAAGAGGAUAAUAGCCAACCUCGUAGCUAUUCGAAACAAAUAUCUCUUUGUGCUCAAAGGCAUAGAUCCAUUCAAGAAUAAAAACAACAUGGCCAUUGACAUAAACCUUGCUCAGCUAUGCUACAAAAACUCAAGAUAAAGGAGACUGAGAUGGGUGUUGUGUUGAUUUUUUAGGAGAAACACUAUAACAUCUGGACUUGGAAGUUUCAUGAAAACACACUCCUUCAUAUUCGUUUUCACUAGAACAAUGAGCACAUUGGUACACAUAAUUAAUUCCUUGGAGUUGACUCAAAUAUAUUUUAGAUUUUGUUUCACAUGAGUAGAAUCUCGUCCGAAAGAAUUUGGGGAACAUUGGGAUAAUAACCGUAAUCGCUAGGACUAGACAACAAGUUUAGGCUAAGGAAAUCUAAAAUGGCUGAAGACAUUUAAAAAUAAUAACUUCUAUUGACACAAAAUUAGAGUGAGACCAAUAAAAUCUUCAUGGCUUGAUUUACUAUUCCUUGUUCAUUUAUAAAGGAAUGUAUUUCAUGUUUCUACAAUAAUUUGCUUUAUGGGUGCUCACAUAGAUAUGAUAAGAUAUCUUUUCAACUUUUAUAUGACAUGCGAGUUAAGGUUACAUUGAUGACAGUGUUACAAACUACCUCUAGUAAACUAUCUUGUAGGUAAUAAACUUGUUCAUUUGUUUAGUUUUAACAUUUUAGAACAUGAACGUUUUCACAUUCAACACAUAGAUGCAAACUGCAAUCCAUUGAACUAAUCUAGGUGUCAUAAUGGCACUCUAUGUGGGUUCUCUCUGCAGAACAGCAGAAUGACGGUGGAUGGUUGGUACUUUAAUCUCGGGACAUUACUUUUGGGUUUUGAUAGCUCCACUCUAAAUCAUAUUUUACUAGGUACGGUGUCCAUCAGAAAAGAUCCUAUCUUUCAUAAUGCUACCUAGCAAAAAUGUGAGCUACAAUGUUGAGCAGUCAAUUUGACGUAGGUUUGAUGUCCCUCUGUAAAAUUGUCUCUGGCAUAUUCUUGGGAUAUUAAACUUCACGUUCAUGAUAAUUUUUUUUGGCAUCAAGUAUUAUACUUUGUUGUUAAUUGUUAAUGAUAGGGUCUAGUUGAUUUAAUGCCCUUGGCCUUGUCAAGUUCGUGGGCUCCAAUUAUUUCCUUAUUUUUCUACAAUAUUAUGGAGUCUUGCAUAAUUUUGCUCCAAGAUAAAAACAUAUGCACCAAAUAUUUACUAGAAACAAUAAUUAAGAGGUGUGACUUUGCAUAUCAACUUUGCACGCAUAUAUACGUUUACUCAUGAAUUUCUAUUAUGUUUUCCUUUGUGUACAUGUAUCUGACUUCAAAGAUAUUCGUCAAAGCAUAUGUGGCCAUGACUUUCUUAAAACAAGAUAUUGUAGAUGCAAGUACUCAACUCCACGCAAGUACUCAACUCCACGCAAGUACUCAACUCCACGCACAUACAGUCACAUCUAUAUAUCUCACAAACACCCACACACAGUACCAAAUGAGAAAAUUCAAGGGGGUUGGCUGGCACAUCUUGAUAUUGACAAUGUAAUGUCGUAUUGUCUACGUAUUAAUCAAGCAUUUGGCUGUAAUUAUGGUUCAUUUUUUAAUUGAUUAUAUACAAAGAAGAAAAUUACGGAAUAGACUCAGAUAAAUCUCAAUCAAUGUAUUGAUUAUUUGUGAGAAGUUGCACACGCUGAUACAAGAACAUUGUUAUCAAGUACAACUCUUUUGUAUUCUAGAAGAUGGCACCUCCAACGAUGGGUUGCUGCCACAACAAGGAAGGGUUCUUAAAAGACAUCUGGUUGAAUGGCAGCAAUUGUUGUUGCUGCAGGAAGGCGGCAGCCAAUGGGUUAGCCAGUGCCAAUGGGUUAACCGGUAGCAGCUGCUGUUGCUGGUGGUAGGUGGCAGCGGUUGCAACAGCCGACUGGGCAAAUGGAAGCGGUUGUGGCUGUUGCAGGUAUGCAGCGGUGUUCGGCACAGCUAGUUGGUUGAAUGGAAGUAGCUGUUGCUGUUGUAAGUAGGCGGCAGGGUUUGCCACGACUAGUUGACUGAGCGCUGGCAGGAUCUGUUGUAACUGUUGUUGUUGUGGUAGGUAUGCAAUGGCAUUCGACGCAGCCAAUGGGUUUGUAGGAAGUAGUUGUUGCAGCUGCAAGUAGGCGGUAGGGUUCGGAAUAGCUAGUUGACUGAGCACUGGUAGGAACUGUCGUUGUUGUCGUUGCGCUACAAUGGUCUGUUCUAGUAGGUGAGCCGAGGAUUGCUGUUGCAAUUGGGCAAUUGGUUGUUGUAAGAUGCUCGCCGCGAGCACCUGUUGUAGCCGAUAGGCCUGCACAACUGGGUGUUCAUACCCCGUAGCAGUAAUCGGUGAGCACUGCGGAAUGAUGAACGCAGUUGUAGCACUCACUAAGAGAGCAAGGAGUGCAAGGAGGGCAAAUAUCUUGGCAGCCAUUAUUUGCUAGUGCGUUUCACUUGGCUUGUUUCUGAUUGCUCUCAAUGAUAUGGGUUGUGGAUUAGAUAUUGAUUUGGUCCUAUUUAUAUAAGUGAGAGUUCAUGCAUAUCUAUUCAGAUCUCAGAGUUUACUAAAAAGCGGAUUAGCUUCAGAUGACAUGGCACCUAGUCAACUUCGGUGCUUAGUUAUCUAUUUUGUUGGAUUAUAUGGUAUGUGUUGGCAAGAUAGUGUCGACUAUGUGCUGUGAAAAAGUGCCCUUUUCUAUAGGAGUUCUCUAGAUACACGAGGAAUGACAUACAUGAUGACUUCACUUUUAAGCAUGACAAAGCCUUAGCCACAUCAUAUUUGUUAGACUUUAUAAACAUGAUAAGUAUGUAAAGUUAUGACUUGCUCAUGUGAAUCGAAGCCUUUAUCAAUAGACUUUGUUGUAGCAUCAUAGUUAUGGUUGAAGUAUACGUUGUAAUUAUGUGAGAAGUUGUCCAACAGCGAAUGAACAUUAAUGUUGCAAGGCCAUGGCUCAUUGAAGUCUCAGUACGUCCAAAAUGCAUGCACAUGCAAAGAAUGUAAAAAAUUUGCAUGCUCAUUACUAUCUUGGCCACUGCCACACACUCCCUUUGUUCUAGAGAACAAUUUAGUUUAUUUUUGUGUAAAAGCAAGCUUGUCUAACUUUGAAAUAGUUUUAAAUUUGUUUUAACAACAAAAAUGCACUAUCAAGACAUAUACAAUGAAGAAUUCAAUGAAACAAACUUGAUGUUCAAGGUUUUUGGUAAAUUUCUAUGAAAUAUGUCAAAGCUAGGUAAGUUUACCUUAGGGAAAAGCUAGAGCAAGUAAUAAAUUGGAGCGGAGGGGGUAUAUGUUGAACUCUACCUCUUGACUCAAAUAGAUGUGCAUCUAAUUUUCACUAAAGUCAAACUUAAAUUAUUUCCAUAUAGUAAGGAGAAUGAUAAAUUUGAUGCGGCUUUUGUUCCUUCCACCACCUAUGAUAUGAAUCUGCCUUCAAUAUACAGGUGAAGAGGAUAAUAGCCAACCUCGUAGCUAUUCGAAACAAAUAUCUCUUUGUGCUCAAAGGCAUAGAUCCAUUCAAGAAUAAAAACAACAUGGCCAUUGACAUAAACCUUGCUCAGCUAUGCUACAAAAACUCAAGAUAAAGGAGACUGAGAUGGGUGUUGUGUUGAUUUUUUAGGAGAAACACUAUAACAUCUGGACUUGGAAGUUUCAUGAAAACACACUCCUUCAUAUUCGUUUUCACUAGAACAAUGAGCACAUUGGUACACAUAAUUAAUUCCUUGGAGUUGACUCAAAUAUAUUUUAGAUUUUGUUUCACAUGAGUAGAAUCUCGUCCGAAAGAAUUUGGGGAACAUUGGGAUAAUAACCGUAAUCGCUAGGACUAGACAAUAAGUUUAGGCUAAGGAAAUCUAAAAUGGCUGAAGACAUUUAAAAAUAAUAACUUCUAUUGACACAAAAUUAGAGUGAGACCAAUAAAAUCUUCAUGGCUUGAUUUACUAUUCCUUGUUCAUUUAUAAAGGUAUAUAUUUCAUGAUACUACAAUAAUUUGCUCUAUGGGUGCUCACAUAAAUAUGAUAAGAUAUUUUUUCAACUUUUAUAUGACAUGCGAGUUAAGGUUACAUUGAUGAUAGUGUUACAAACUACCCCUAGUAAAUUAUCUUGUAGGUAAACUUGUUCAUUUGUUUAGUUUUAACAUUUUAGAACAUGAACGUUUUCACAUUCAACACUGUUGAUGGUGGUUAACGUCAACUUUCAUUAGAACUUUAAACCCAAAAGAAAACAUGAAAACACACCAGUCUAGGGUUUUAACUGACAAUUUCCACGAGUUUCGCAUAUUCUGUAUUUUCUAGGGUGAAUUUCAUGAAAGCCGAAAAGAGGGAUUCUAGUGCAAAAUAAACACGAAACUUAUCCACCACGGCAACAUCGCAAACGGGACGUGGGAAGACUCUGGAAGACACCCAAAGAGCCAGGGGGGCAGAGGCCGCCAGGUGGGGCCGGCCGGCCCCACCCUAGCGCCGGCCGGUGCCCUCUACAAGGGUUUCGGCCCCCCUUCUGGAAGCUUCCUCCAGGGCCUACGAUGAGUCAUCUUGGCCUUUGGUUAAAUCGGUUUGAUCCUGCGGCGCACGUCGAUCCAACCGGGAUAUAAAUAAAGUGGCAGACCCCCCUCCCUGAGGGCACCACAUUAUGGAGAUGUAGAGGCGUCCCUCGAAUGGAUGACCUCUCACCUCUAGAGAAUUAGGGCUAGACUUUCCAAUGUAGUAGAUUAGUUCUAGUUGAGAGUUAGCGAGAGCGGCGCUACGCCCGGGUUCUGGAGGAGUCUUCGGAGGAGUCAUCAGAGUUCUGGUAUAUCUUUGUAUCCUUGCUUUAAUAUAUUUUUUCUUCUCUAUUUACUUUUAUGCAUUACAUUUGAUUGGUUAGUAUAGUUGUUAUACUUUAGCAUAGGAUCUCCGCUCGCAUCGGGUGCUCUAAUUAUUAAUUGUGACUAGAGUAGUAGUUUGUAGUAGAGACAUGGUGUCUAGACUAUAGGUUACCUGAGAUUGCACCCAGUUCUACGGAUAGUUGUGGUAGCCCCAGGUGGUGACAGCCCUGACGGCCAACGUAUUCCACCACAUUUGGAUUGGUGUUGUAGGACCGUAGUCAGAUCAUCCUAGCCCCCUUCUCAUCUGUCUGUGGCUAAGUGCUCUGAUGUCCCGAAGUGUUAUUGUGUGAUUGCUUUACCUACCAUGAAUUAGUUAUUAUAGAACCCUAGUAAUAGAGAAGUAUUUGGGAACCUUAAACUCUCCCGUUGUUCUAUCACUUUAGCUAUCUACUCUUUUAUCAUAAGAAUUCUCGGGUGUGUGUCAUAUAUGCAUAAUUCCUAUCAUCGGUUACUUACCCCUACUUAAGUCUAGUUGGUGUAUUAGUUAGUAGAUACAUGAUGGUGAACUAUCAAUAUCUUUAUUCAUUGUUUCCCAGUGGUAAGAUAUAAAUAACGAUACCUGGAAUACUCCUAGUAAAAUGCUACAAUGGUUUUCUGCGCGCUUGCAGAAUCCUUCAUAUUUUAACUGUGCAUAAGAAAUACCAACAAACACCAAGAUGCAAACUGCAAUCCAUUGAACUAAUCUAGGUUUCAUAGUGGCACUCUAUGCGGGUUCUCUCUGUAGAACAGCGGUGGAUGGUUGGUACUUUAAUCUCAGGACAUUACUUUUGGGUUUUGAUAGCUCCACUCUAAAUCAUAUUUUACUGGGUACGGUGUCCAUCAGAAAAGAUCCCAUCUUUCAUAAUGCUACCUAGCAAAAAUGUGAGCUACAGUGUUGAGCAGUCAAUUUGACGCAGGUUUGGUGUCCCUCUGUAAAAUUGUCUCUGGCAUAUUCGUGGGAUAUUAAACUUCACGUUCAUGAUAAAUUAUUUUGGCAUCAAGUUUAAUACUUUGUUGCUAAUUGUUAAUGAUAAGGUGUAGUGUAUUUAGUGCCCUUGGCCUUGUCAAGUUCGUGGGCUCCAAUUAUUUCCUUAUUUUUCUACAAUAUUAUGGCGUCUUGCACAAUUUUGCUCCAAGAUAAAAACAUAUGCACCAAAUAUUUACUAGAAACAAUAAUUAAGAGGUAUGACUUUGCAUAUCAACUUUGCACGCAUAUAUAUGUUUACUCAUGAAUUUCUAUUAUGCUUUCCUUUGUGUACAUGUAUCUGACUUCAAAGAUAAUGGUCAAAGCAUAUGUGGCCAUGAUUUUCUUAAAACAAGAUACUAUAGAUGCAAGUACUCAACUCCAUGCACAUACAGUCACAUCUAUAUAUCUCACAAACACCCACGCACAGAACCAAAUGAGAACAUUCAAGGUUUGGCUGGCACAUCUUGAUAUUGACAAUGUAAUGUCGUAUUGUGUACGUAUUAAUAAAGCAUUUGGCUGUAAUUAUGGUUCAUUUUUAAUUGAUUAUAUACAAAGAAGAAAAUUAUGGAAUAGACUCAGAUAAAUCUCAAUCAAUGUAUUGAUUAUUUCCGAGAAGUUGCACACGCUGAUACAAGAAUAUUGUUAUCAAGUACAACUCUUUUGUAUUCUAGAAGAUGGCACCUCCAACGAUGGGUUGCUGCCACAACAAGGAAGGGUUCUUAAAAGACAUCUGGUUGAAUGGCAGCAAUUGUUGUUGCUGCAGGAAGGCGGCAGCCAAUGGGUUAGCCAGUGCCAAUGGGUUAACCGGUAGCAGCUGCUGUUGCUGGUGGUAGGUGGCAGCGGUUGCAACAGCCGACUGGGCAAAUGGAAGCGGUUGUGGCUGUUGCAGGUAUGCAGCGGUGUUCGGCACAGCUAGUUGGUUGAAUGGAAGUAGCUGUUGCUGUUGUAAGUAGGCGGCAGGGUUUGCCACGACUAGUUGACUGAGCGCUGGCAGGAUCUGUUGUAACUGUUGUUGUUGUGGUAGGUAUGCAAUGGCAUUCGACGCAGCCAAUGGGUUUGUAGGAAGUAGUUGUUGCAGCUGCAAGUAGGCGGUAGGGUUUGGAAUAGCUAGUUGACUAAACGCUGGUAGGAACUGUUGUUGUUGUAGUUGCGCUACAAUGGUCUGUACUAGUAGUUGAGCCGAGGAUUGCUGUUGCAAUUGGACAAUUGGUUGUUGUAAGAUGCUCGCCGUGAGCACCUGUUGUUGCCGAUAGGCCUGCACAAUUGGGUGUUCAUACCCCGCAGCAGUAACCGGUGAGCACUGCGGAAUGAUGAACGCACUUGUAGCACUCACUAGGAGAGCAAGGAGUGCAAGGAGGGCAAAUAUCUUGGGAGCCAUUGUUUCUAUGAUGUUGCUAGUGCGUUUCACUUGGCUUGUUUCUGAUUGCUCUCAAUGAUAUGGGUGGUGGAUUAGAUAUGGAUUUGGGCCUAUUUAUACAAGUGAGAGUUAAUGCAUAUCUAUUCAGAUCUCGGAGUUUACUAAAAAAAUGGAUGAGCUUCAAAUGACAUGGCACCUAGUCAACUUCGGUGCUUAGUUAUCUAUUUUGUUGGAUUAUAUGGUAUGUGUUGGCAAGAUAGUGUCGACUAUGUGCUGUGAAAAAGUGCCCUUUUCUAUAGGAGUUCUCUAGAUACAUGAGGAAUGACAUACAUGAUGACUUCACUUUUAUGCAUGACAAAGCCUUAGCUGCAUCAUAUUUGUUCUACUUUAUAAACAUGAUAAGCAUGUAAAGUUAUGACUUGCUCAUGUGAAUCAAAGUGUAAUGCCCUGGAUAGGAACACUACCGCCGAAGGCUUCCAACAACAUCUAAAUUUUAUUAUGUUUGCAAAUCAUUUAAAAUUUUGGCAGAGUUUCCCUAGUAUUUUGGGCAUCUAAACAGGUAAAUCACGUUACAAUGACGAUAUAAUCACCCAACAAUAUCUUGUUAAGCAUCCUAACCAACCAUUAAGCAACCUCUUGUUAAGCUAAACAUAUGUAAACUAGGUGUUUGUAUCAUGAAGGUGCUACUCCCGGUUCCCAUGCAUGCUGUUGUCAUUUGGUACCUAAAAACCAAAUAAACACAAGGGUGAGUAAAAACACUUGGUAAGUGCAAUUAGAACCGAAAGAAGAAAUUCAACGUUGUCCAUGAACAAAAUAUCAGAAUAUCCAUAGACAAUAGUUUAUGUGUGAAAUAGAUUAACUUGAAACCUUAGCAUUUACCGGUAAAGCCAAGCAAGUGGGGCCAACAUAAGAACCAAAUUGCACCUCCGGAUAAACAGGCACCAGAAUUGAAUGUAAAAGAAAUCAAGAAACUUGAACUUGAAUAUAAAAAGCAAAUUGCACAUGUGGAUCCACCGGAACAGGAAUUGAAUUUAAAGGAACAAUCGAAACUUGAAUUACAUAGCACACGUGAAACAACUAAAUCAAUUGAAAACUCAACAAUAGGCAUAAGCCCAUCCAUAGGUUCCUCAUGCACUUUCCUUAAGGGCUUGUUAAGUUUGGCGAGAAUCCAGCAUUCUUGCCACCCUCGGUAACAGCGCUUCCCAAACCUGAGGAGCAAACUGCCUUAGAAACUCAAUUAAACCUCUCAGUCGAACCCUAAUAUGUGAAUUCUCAUAUUUUUAGAAGACCCAAUAAAAUUUGAGUUCCUCGCUGCUUUGACCAUAACUCUCAAUUCUGUUAUCCAAAUUCAGCAAAUAAAUACAUGUCAGACAUGUACAGAAAAUUUUCUAUAAUUUGGUUUAGAAAUCCAGGACCAAUUCUGUCUCUGAAUACCUCGAAAAUAGAUCCCCAUUAGUCUAACGUUUUCUAUUCCUCCUCUUUCUUGCCUGUCACACCCCUCGCCGCCAACGCUUACGCCGUCGACGUGAGCGAUUAAGAGAUACAGAUCGGGCGAGGAACGCCGGCGAGGAAUCUUCCUCUGCCUUGCGUGUUCUAUUUUUCAAUGUCUGGAUGAUUGUUCCCCUCCACGGGUUGGGCACUUAUGUGCCAGAUACAGAGUUGGCCUUGGGCCCACAAGUCAUACACUAGAAUUGAAAACGUAAAACACAGCUACACUUCUUCUAUGCGAUGGUGUCUUCUUGGUAUUCUCUUUCUGCUAUUUCCCUUUGCCUCCGCGACGACAGUGGCCUCCCAGGAUCUACGCGCCAGCAGUAGCUAGCUAGCCUUGCUACUUCCCAGCAGCUUCACGUACUUAGCAGCACCAAGAUUAGAUGAAAGCAACUCACGGGAAAACAAUAACUAAAGUAGCAACUGAGAUACAGAAGCAAGGAUGCCUUUCUUUUUAUGAUCUAAAUUUAACGGUGGUUCCUCCUAAAUUCAUCCAACCUCCAGACAAAACAUGUUAGUAGUAAAAUGAAUUCGCUUCGACGAGAUCCACACAACCACGCACGGUGUCCGAUCGUCCAUAAGAUUCCCGGUUCAAAUACUCAAAAUUUGAUCAUCUCAUAGUGUCCGUUCGGUCAACUUAUUAAUUUUGUUUUGAAAAAUUCGGGAUAUUACACAAUGCCUUUAUCAACGGACUUUGUUGUAGCAUUGUAGAUCGUACUCAUCAUGGUUGAAGUAUAUACAGUAACUUCUUUUUAAAUUUGAGGAGACCUCCACCGGCUAUAGUGCAGUGUCUAUAUUGUAUUUCGGUUCCUCGUAUAUUACCAAAUUAUAUGUAGAUUGAUGGUUUGAGACUCUAAACAAUUUGAAAUCAAAAAGUUGUCAAGUCAACUAUAAAGUUUUAUAACUUUUAGAGAUCUAUAAUUUUUAUUUAGGGAGUUUCUCCAUCCGAGAUCGUUUACAAAAUUUGAAUUUCAAAUUUGAGAAAUUCAAACGUAGUUUUUGCAUGAUAAGAUGUUUUCAAAUGAAAAAUUUGUCAACUACAAAGUUUCAUAACUUUUUGAUAUCUACAAAGGUUACUUAGGGAGUUUUUUCAUCCGAGGUCAUUUGAAAAAUUCAAAUUUUCAAUUUUCAAAUAAAGACGCAGUUUUGCAUGACAAGAUGAACUCAAAUGAAAAAGUUGAUAACUACAAAGUUUCAUAACUUGCCGAUAUCUACAAAGUUUAUUUAGAGAGUUUUCCCAUCUGAGGUCAUUUCAAAAAUUUGAAUUUUAAAAUUUUUAAAUAAAUACAUAGUUUUGCAUGAGAAGAUGAACUCAAAUGGAAAAGUUGUCAACUACAAAAUUUCAUAACUUCUUAAGAUCUACAAUGUUUAUUAUAGUUGUUUGAUCAUUUGUUCAACCAACAUGGUGAUUCUAACAUUUUUCACAAAACUUAUAUAUCUCUCUUGCAGUUUCAUAAACUAUAAGAAAGAUAUGUAAAAUUUGUGAAUAAAUUUAUUUUUUUCACUUUGUCAAAUGAUAAAAUGAGAAAAAUAAAGGUUGUAGAUCUUGAGAAGUUAUACAACUUUGUAAUUGAAAACUUUUUGAUUUAAAUUCGUUUAGGGCUUCAAAAUUCGAUUUGAAAUUUUCUUUACCGAGUAUUUUUUUUUACACUCGGCAAAGAAGGUCUUCACCAAGUGUUAGAAAAAAAAACACUUGACAAAGAGGCUUCUUUGCCGAGUGUAAAAGAACACUCGGCAAAGAAAGUCUUUGCCUAGUGUUAAAAAAAAAACACUCAACAAAGAGGCUUCUUUGCCGAGUAUAAACAAAACACUCGGAAAAGAGCCAAAUUCCGGUAGUGAAUUGAAGUCCCAGUACGUAUAAAAUGCAUGCACACACAUAUAAUAUAAGAAAUUGGAAUGCUUAUUACUAUCUUUGGCCACUCCCACACACUCCCUUUUCUGGAUUAGAAUUCACUUUAUUUUUUGUCUAAAAUCAAAAGCUUGUGUAACUUUGAAAAAUGUUUUAAAUAAAUCUUGACAACAAAAAUUGCACUAUCAAGAGCACAACGUUCAAUGGCAUCUCGACGAAUCUGGUGGUAUACAUGGAGACCGUCCUCCAUGGCAGCAACCAUGGCAGUGCAUGCAUGCCUCCUCACCACGUGGUACGGCACCAGCUAUAAGCCUAUAUAUACCUCACGCCCAUCUUUCUUCAGCUGGUUCUACCUCUGCGUCGACUUCGGCCCCAUCGUGUCCGGCCGGUCUCCUCAUCGUGUGCAACGUUAGCUGGGGGCCUCGGCUUCGGCAUCGCCACGGCCUGCAUCGCGCUAGCCUUCCUGCUGCGCCUGCUGCCCCAUCUGGGUGACCAGCGUCAUCGUGUCCUCGACGUACACGCAGAUGUAUACCACCUUCGUCCAAAUUUGUAGUGGUUUUUGAUGUAAAUGUAACAGUGUAACACAGAGUAUAAAGUAUAAACCGUAGUUCUUUACCUACUGGUUCCCGUUCCCAUGUCCAAUCCCUGAUCAACGAGGACUCCAGCUCGGCUGCUCGAGACAACUGAUCGAUCGAUUCCGAAAAGGAAGAGCAGACUCCGUGGAUUCUAACCGGAUUAGCUAGACGAUCAACUCGAACUAUGCAAAUCCUUAGGAGUAGUAUAUAACCAGACGAUGCACGCCGUGGGAUUAAUUUACAACCGCAAGAUAGGAAGCUAGUUUUCAGCAGCCAUAUAGCUAGUUGCAGUACACGUUCUCCCUUGCCAAAAGCAACAAGAAGCAUCGCGGCAAUUCUAUCGAUCGGGCACGUACGCCGGAUGGCAGCUGCUGACGCGAUGGCCGGAGCGGCGGCUACAGACGACGAUGGAGCCGCCGUGGCGAUGGUAAAGAUGGCGGAGAUGCCGGUGGAGUUUCUCCGGUGGGUGAUGGCGCAGGACAAGGAGGACUACCGCGUGCCUACGCUGGAGGACUACACGCAGGAGGAGGUCGCCGAGGCCAAGGACACCAUCUGCACCGUCAUCGGCUGCUUGCAGGUCGCGUACGACGAGUUCGACGAGUUCCGGGCCUGGGUCGGCGACGUGAUCGAGAACGACGGCUGCGUGAUGAUCCACGAGGACAUGCUCUUCUCGGAUCCCAAAGAAUGGCAGGAAAGCGUCGACCAGGAGUGGGCAGAGGCAAGGCAGGAGCUGGAGAUGGAGCUGACGAAACCACUCGGCCAGCACCUGUGCAUGUUGUCUACGUAUCUUUCGCUCUUGUACCACUAUGCAGCGCCCAUCCCGACAUUUUGGGGGCCUUAGCUAUAUAUAUGGGUGAGAAAAGUUAAUAUUAUUAAGGCCAAUAACCAAUGUCGUAGAGACGGUAAGAACUACCGACAUGUUUUUUUUUUCAUAUUUUUGUUUAGUUUUUAAAUUUUCCAUUUACUUUUUUUUUCAUAUUUUCGUUUAGAAUGAAUAGUUUGUUUUCAUUUUCCAACAAGACUUAUUUUGGAUUUUUGCCAAAAAAAAUAGUAAGAUAAUCUAGAGAUGACGUGGUAUCUAGUUGGUUUUGAUAUUUAGUGGCCACUUUGUUGGGUUAUAUACUUUAUACGUCGGCAAGACAAUGUAACUUUGUUGGGUUAUACUUUAUAUGUCGGCAAGACAAUCUCCACAAAAUACAAUGAUCCUCUUGGCAUUUUCCAAAUACAUGGGUGACAAUAUGGCACAAUCCGUUUACCUUUACUCGUGUGUAACCUUAGCCACAUAUGGUGCUACUUUUCUUUGCGGCAGACGCUCACAUACACGAGCACACACUCAGUCCUAUAAAUGCACGCAUGCAAGUUAUUUUGCACUAUAGCCGAUGAGAUGAACCAUUCAUGCAAAAUAAAAGAAGUGGAGAGGAAGGGUAUAUGCUGCGCUGAAAUUGGAUAUGAGUAAGGCUUAUGAUAGAGUGGAGUGGCCUUUUAUAGAGAAGAUUAUGAGAAGAGGCUGGGUUUUCAUGAAAGAUGGAUAAUACUGAUUAUGACAUGUAUUACAACAGUCACUUAUCGCAUACAGGUGAAUAGUGGUUUGACUGAACAAAUCAUUUAUUCUAGAGGGUCUAGGCAGGGGGAUCCAAUUUCCCCGUAUUUAUUCUUGCUGUGUGCGGAAGGUUUUUUCAUCCUUGCUAAAUGAUGCCGAGAUGAAUGGAAGAAGUCAGGGGGUCUCGAUAUGUUCUGGAGCUCCUAGCAUAACUCACCUUUUGUUUGCAGAUGAUUCGUUGCUUCUCUUAAAAGCAAAUGAUGGGAAUGCAGCACAUCUGCGACAUGUUCUACAAAUUUAUGAGAUAUGCUCGGGGCAGAAAAUUAACAAAGAGAAAUCCUCUAUUGUGUUUAGUAAGAACACCCAGCCACAGGCAAAAUGGAGAUUCAUGGAAAUUCUUGAUCUUGCACAAGAGUCAAUGAAUGAAAGGUACUUGGGUUUGCCAGUAUAUAUGGGGAGAUCAAAAGCAAGUGUGUUUGGAAACGGAUACAGGGUUGGAAGGAAAAGUUGCUAUCAAAGGCCGACAAAGAAACUUUGAUCAAGGCGGUGGCACACACUACUACAGGAUUGAUUAACCGCAACGAGACCAUUUCCACCUCCGUGACGGGCACAGUUUUUGCCCGCCACGGUUAUUCAACCGCACGCGUAUAGGCCCGGCCACAGGAAAGCUAUAUUUUUUUUCUAGAUUCUUAAUGGAUCCAUAUGAAACCUUCUUUGUUCGAUGUGUAACGGUUCGCAGGCACGAGAUGGAUAGGUCGGAAUGGAUGUAUGGGAUGAAUCGGGUGCUUGACCCGCGGUACCUUGUCGAAGUGAGGAAGUUUAUUGCCACGGCGAAAGCUCACCGUGAGAGAUCGAAGCGGACGACAACCAUAUGUCCAUGUUCUCACUGCAAGAACCUCACAGCCUUCACGAAAGAAGGUACGGUGCAGUCUCACUUGAUUCGGUUUGGUUUCAUGGAGGGUUACACAGUCUGGACUCAUCACGGUGAAAGAGUGGACCCCAGUGGUGAUGCAUCCGGUUUGAGCUCGACGUCGACGACCAUGAACCAAGAACCUAGAGCGCCCAUCUCAUCUCCAACGACUGCAGGGCCAACCUUUGGCAACAACGACAACAUUGAUUCAGACAGAGUGGAGGAUAUACUCGGGGAGAUGGCAGAUGUUGUUGCAGAUGGCGAGGCGGCUACCAUGCAGGAACCGGAGGAUAUCGAGGUGAUCGAGGGUUUAGUCAGCCACAUCGAUGAAGACGACGUUGUGUAUGGCUCCCCUAAGUGGUUGGAAAAUUUUAGGGAGAUGAAGCAGACUGCACUUGAUCCACUGUAUAAGGACGGCGGUAAUUGUCCAAAGGAGUGUACGGUGCUCCGGUUCAACCUCCACAUGUUGAUGAUGAAGGCCCGGCAUGGCUGGUCUGAUACUAGCUUCAAUGAGCUGUUAAGUUACCUUGCUACCACGUACCCGACGGGUAACAAGGUCCCCGCAAAUACCUAUCAUGCGAAGAAGUUGAUUCGUCCAGUUGCGAUGAAACUUAGAAAGUUUGAUGCCUGCCCCAACCACUGCAUCCUGUAUCGAGGCAAGGAGUAUGAGAAUAUGACGAGUUGUCCGCACUGCGGCGCCAGUCGCUACAAGAGGAAUGCUGGAUGUCGUGUGGACGAAGACGACGAUGUGGCCUUACGGGGUCGUCCGAAGAGGAAGAAGGGAGCCAAGAAUAGCAGUGCCGCCGCCAAUCGCAUCUCAUCUCAGCAAGAUGAGGAAGAAGAGGGUUACACGCGGAGGAAAAGUCCAGCACUAUCGUUGUGGUACCUGCCUGUGACCGACCGCUUGCGUGCACUAUUCGGGAACCCAGAGGAUGCCAAGCUCAUGUCCUGGCAUGCAUCAGCUGACCGCAAGAAGGAUGAUGGCAUGCUGCGGCACCCAUCCAAUGGCCAACAGUGGAAAGAUUUUGACAAGGCAUACCCGGAAUUUGGUAAGGAUCCUAGGAACGUUCGGCUCGCGCUGAGUACUGAUGGGAUGAACCCUUUUGGUGAGCUUAGCAGCUCGCACAGCACCUGGCCGGUUGUACUCACCGUCUACAACCUACCUUCCCAUCUGUGUCAAAGGCGAAGGUAUCUUAUGCUGACCAUGCUUAUCUCAGGACCGAAGCAGCCUGGUAACGAUAUCGAUGUCUUCCUAGAGCCGUUGAUGGAGGAAAUGCAGGAGUUAUUUGAUGUUGGGGUAGAGAUGAUUGAUGCAUCCCGCAAAGAGAAGUUUACCCUAAAAGCCAUCAUCAUUGUCAGCAUCACCGAUUACCCCGGUCUCUUCUCACUAUCAGGGCAGAUCAAAGGGAAGACCGGCUGCGUAGUGUGCAUCGACGGGACCUACUACACUUAUCUCCAGGGAUAUCACAAGAUGGUGUACAUGAGGCAUAGACGGUUCCUCGUCAAGAAGCACAGGUACAGAAGAAGUGUUAUGAAUCAGUUCUUCGCUGAUGAGGAAGAGCCGCAGGGUGAAGCACCAGCUGUGGGGGUAUAAACCCCUAUACCCUUACGGCUAGACUUGGGCCAGAAGGCUUGGCCCAUUACAAGACAAGCUCAAGGUUUGGUCCGACAGCUUGGAGUUUCGCGCAAGGAAACAAGACGUGGAGAUCAAGAAGGAUUCUAGUCGGUUAGAAUAGAAAUUGAUAUCAAACUAUCUAUGGCAAUUGUAACCGACUAGGAUUAGUUUCCAGAUCUGUAACCCUGUCCUCCGGACUAUAUAAGGAGAGGCAAGGGACCCCCCUAGGACAUCAUAUUCUCUCAACACAAAUCAAUACGACCAGACGCAGGACGUAGGUAUUACGCCAACUCGGCGGCCGAACCUGGAUAAAAAGCUUGUCCGUGUCUUGCGUCACCAUCAAGUUCGUAGUUUGCGCACCGUCUACCGAUAAACUACUACCGUGGGUAUACCCCAAGGUAGACUGCCGACUAGCUUUCGUCGACAGUGGCGCGCCAGGUAGGGGGUGUGCGUGCAACUUCUCCGGCGAACAAGAUGGUUACGAUCCCAGCUUCCGCGACCGUGCCUGAAGGCCUCACGUUCACCGUCAGCCAGAUCACGUGGACGACGUGCAGCGGCGGCCUCACGACCACGGUUUCGAAAGAAACUCAGAUCCGAUCUGAGAUCACGCCGUCUCCGACCACUCGCGUGGCGGCACCGAGCGCCCGACCACCGUUCCCGCUCUACAAGGGAAAGAAGAUUGACUGCUCGGACCUUCUCCAAGCGCUUGAUCGCGCUGACUCCAAGCUACUUGAAGCCUCCCAACUAGUAGACGGAGUCCUACGUCAGCCUGAUCAAGCUGCUCCAACGGAUUUUUUCAAAUCCCGCCGGCCAACUCGUGUCGUUACACACGAACGGCUGGGAACGUCUCUGACGAUAACCUCAACCCCCUCAGGACGAUCCGUCAAGCUCAAGAAGGGAGAUCAUCCUUGCGGCCUGAACAACUCAGCCUCUCUUUACUCACGGCACAUCCAAUCCGUUUUCAGCAAGGCGGGUUGGCCGCCGAAAAGGAACGGUCGUCACUACGUCAACGUGGUGGCAAUCCGAGAACUACGGGACGGCCAGGCUUCCAGCACGAACUCGAGCACCGGUUCCGUCACCACCGAAGUUAUAAACACCGAAGACGAGGACUACGACCUGGAUUUGCCUUCGCACCCUCCGGAUUUCCCUCGUUUCCCGGUAUUCCCCCCUCGGCGAGGAGAUAUUGUCUUCAACGUCAGCGCCGACGAACCGGUCGUCGAUGGAGAAACGGAUGAGCAGAGGCAACUCCGCGAGCAGCGCAACGCCGAUCGCGCCCGACGACGUGCGGACGAGCAACAACAAAUUCCACCGCAUAAUCUCAACGACGCUUUUGACAUGGUCGGGGACCAGCCAGUCUACAAGACGCCAAUCGCCAACGUGGCUGUCGCCAUGGCUAAUCUAGAUCGGCUCCCUGAUACCCCUGAGUGCCAAGGAGUCCGGACCAGCAUCCGAGCACACAUGAUCGCCGCAAUGGGACAGACAGCCACUCUGCUCAAGAGAGUCCAGGACGUCUCUUACACAGAAGCCACCUCCGACCAGACUAAUCGUAGCCGGACCUCACCACCUCCCAGCAGGCGUCGCCGUAGCCGCUCUCCCGACAACCAUCGAAAAGAUUCACGGCGCGACGAUGGUGGUCGGGACACUGACGGUCACCGUGAGCAGAACCGCAGACGCAGUCAAGAAGUAAACCAACACAGGGAUCUCCGGCACAACAUUCCUCCCAAAGAUGCCCGGGACCGCAUUAACAGGCGUGCCACAGAAAGAGCAGUCCACGAAAACCUGCGCCGUAUUGAGUACGAUGCACCACACGGCCCCCCGGGCCUAAGACAAUUCUUCUCACACCUCCGCCAGGUCGUGUGGCCCCGCAAUUUCAAGCUCGAAAAACUUAAAAAAUACGAUGGCAAGGAAAAUCCAGAGAACUGGAUCACUCUCUAUGAAAUCGCCGUCCGAUCAGCAGCGGGAGAUGAGCACGUCAUGGCCAACUACUUCCCCGUAGUCCUCGACCAGGCUGGUCAUCAGUGGCUCCUUGGCUUGCCCGAGGACUCCUUCGACUCUUGGGAAGAGCUACGCCAGGCUUUCAUCGACAACUUCAUCGCCACAUGCGAGCAGCCUGGAAACAAGUAUGACCUCGAAAGGAUAAGGGACAGGAAGAACGAACCUCUGCGCGACUACAUCCGACGAUUCUCGGAUAUGCGCCUUAAGAUCCCAAAGAUUUCCCACGACGAGGCCAUCUCUGCCUUCAUCAAGGGCCUGCGUUUCCAUGAAGCGCUGAGGAACAAGCUGUUGCGUAAACGGCCAACAACGGUGGCGGAGCUCCUCGCCACGGCCAAAAAUUACGCCGAUGCUGACGACGCAGAAAAACUAAUCCGAGACGAUGCGAGAGGUCCCGACCCGCCUCCCCGGCGAGACGACGGUCGCGGUCGCUACGACAACAGGAACCACCGCCGCCCCGACAACCGCGAUCACAGAGAAGGUUGGGAUCGGCGGCGCGACAACCGCGACGAUUUCAGAGGAAAGCGCCCCCACGACUACGACCACGAAGUAAAUACGGUCAAGCGCCCCAACGGGCGGCGGGACUACCAAGAAGACUACAACAAAACGUUGAAGGGACCGUGCUAACUACAUCCAAAGUCUAAUCAUACCAUGGAGGAAUGCCGCAUCCUCAAAAGCAUCUAUACACGGCGGGCCGCCCAAGACGACUCCGCUAAGAAAAACGGCAAGCGAGACGGGCACGACCACGAAGACGAGGAUGAGGACCAAGAUAGGGACCUCCGACACCAAUACGUCAGCCCCACUGACGUGGUCCACUCCAUCUUCGGGGGCAAGGUCUCCAUCGAAUCUAAGCGGGAAAGAAAGCUAUUGAAGAGAGCCUGCCUCAACAUAGACAGCACGGACGGGCUGAUCGCAGACCCGAAAUUUCCAACGUGGUCGCACAGAGAGAUCUCAUUCAGCAGGAAGGACCAGUGGGCCGCCAUCCCAGAGCCAGGUCGUUUCCCUCUGAUCCUGGACCCUUGCAUCAACAGCAUCAGAUUCGAGCGCGUGCUCGUGGACGGAGGAAGCUCCAUCGACAUCCUCUUCCGCAACAGCCUGCCCGCUCUCAAGAUAUCUCCGGCACAACUAAAACCUUACGAUGCCCAAUUCUGGGGGGUUUUGCCAGGUCAGAGUUCAGUGCCCCUCAGACAGAUAACAUUGCCUGUCCAAUUCGGCACACCCGAACACUUUCGGACGGAGUUCAUCAACUUCGUGGUCACGGACUUCGACGGGACCUACCACGCUAUACUGGGCCGACCAUCGCUGACAAAGUUCAUGGCAGUCCCGCACUACUCAUACCUGGUCCUUAAGAUGCCUACGGAGAAGGGUGUCCUAACCGUCAGAGGCAAUGUCUACACCGCGUAUACCUGCGAAGAAGAGAGCUUCAAGAUCACCGAAGCAAUCGACCUCUCAAUCCGCAUGGCAGAAACAGCAACCCAAGCCGCGCAGCUACCUCCCGACCAGCUCCGAUUGCCCGAACAAGAGACAGCCAGGAAGAAUUCAAAAUCCAAGGAGUACAAAGAAGUGCAGCUGGUCGACGGCAGCUCCGAGAAGACGGCCCUCAUCGGGGCCAAUCUGGAUCCAAAAUAGGAAGACGCGCUCGUCAGGUUUCUAAGGGACAACGUCAGCGUUUUCGCAUGGAAACCCGCAGACAUGCCCGGCGUCCCACGAAACCUGAUCGAGCACUCCUUAAACGUCUCGAAGACCGCAAGACCAAUCAAGCAAAAGCUGCGACGGUUCGCUCGUGACAAAAAGGAGGCUAUUAGGACAGAAAUAACACGGCUUCUAGCAGCCGGAUUCAUAAAAGAAGUGUAUCACCCCGAUUGGCUCGCCAAUCCGGUUCUUGUACGCAAAAAGAAUAAUGAAUGGAGAAUGUGCGUUGAUUACACAGAUCUCAAUAAACACUGUCCUAAAGAUCCUUUUGGUCUCCCUCGCAUCGACGAGGUGGUCGACUCAACGGCCGGAUGCGAACUCCUCUCUUUUCUAGACUGCUACUCUGGUUACCACCAGAUUUCGCUAAAGGAAGGCGAUCAGAUCAAAACAUCUUUCAUUACCCCUUUCGGCGCAUACUGCUACACGACCAUGUCAUUCGGACUCAAAAACGCUGGAGCCACUUAUCAACGGGCCAUCCAGCAGUGCCUCCACGACGAGAUUCGUGAUGACCUCGUCGAGGCCUAUGUAGACGACGUGGUCGUAAAAACAAGGGACGCGAGCACCCUAAUCGACAACUUAGACCGAACUUUCAAGGCGCUUAAUAGGUACAAGUGGAAGCUCAACCCCAAAAAGUGCAUCUUCGGUGUUCCUUCCGGUCUACUGCUCGGCAACGUUGUCAGUCGCGACGUCAUACGACCAAACCCUUCAAAAGUAAAAGCAGUACUCGACAUGCGACCACCCAAGAACGUCAAGGAUAUUCAGAAGCUUACCGGAUGUAUGGCCGCCCUCAGUUGCUUCAUCUCAAGGCUAGGAGAAAAAGGCCUCCCUUUCUUCAAACUCUUGAAAGCGUCGGAAAAAUUCUCUUGGACAGAAGAAGCCGACGCCGCGUUCACUCAGCUUAAGGCUUUCCUCACUUCACCACCUGUCCUUACAGCGCCUCCGCCCGAUGAAGACCUACUCCUUUACAUUGCUGCAACCGACAGGGUUGUUUCCACAGCAAUAGUGGUCGAGCGAGAUGAACCAGGUCAUGCCUAUAAAGUCCAGAGACCCGUUUACUUCAUAAGUGAAGUCUUAAACGAGUCCAAGGCCAGGUACCCACAAAUACAGAAGCUCAUAUACGCCAUUCUAAUAACAUCAAGAAAGCUGAAGCACUACUUCGACGGCCAUCGAGUCUUGGUAACCACCAGUUUCCCUCUCGGGGACAUUCUGCGCAAUAAAGACGCCAACGGCAGAAUCGUGAAAUGGGCGAUGGAAUUAUGCCCAUUUUCCCUAGAGUUCCAGAGCCGCACCACAGUCAAGUCUCAGGCCCUGGUCGAUUUCAUUGCUGAAUGGACGGAUCUCAACGAGCCUCCCGUUCCCGAUGUCUCCGACCACUGGUCAAUGUUCUUCGACGGAUCCUUAAACAUCAACGGUGCCGGCGCUGGGAUACUGUUCGUGUCACCUAACAAGGACAAACUGCGUUACGUCCUUAGGAUCCUAUUUCCAGCGUCAAACAAUGUCGCCGAAUACGAAGCAUGCCUGCACGGCAUAAGGCUCGCCGUUGAGCUGGGAGUCAAACGCCUUUAUGUCUAUGGCGACUCCGCUUUGGUUAUCAACCAGCUCAACAAGGAGUGGGACGCAACCCACGAGAAGAUGGAUCUCUACUGCAAAGAAAUUCGCAAAUGGGAAACCAACUUCUACGGCAUAGAGUACAUCCACGUGGUCCGAGAUAAGAACCAGGCAGCAGAUGCGUUGUCGAAGUUAGGGUCAUCUCGGGCCUAGAUCCCACGGGGUAUUUUCGUCCAGGACAUCCACGAGCCUAGCAUAGGCUCCACCCUGGUCGAAAAGCAACCUACCGAGGCAAUGCUCAUAGACGAUGCCACUCCGACAACCGGUGGUCGUGAUUGGCGUACACCGUUCAUCAAGUAUAUAUCGGACGGGACAGGCUUUCAGGACAAAACAGAGAACGAGCGCCUCAUUCGACGGUUAAAGAACUACAUCCUGGUCGACGGUAAACUCAUGCGAAAAAAUGCAAGCUCUGAAGUAUUGCUCAAGUGCAUAUCCCAGGAUGAUGGUACCAAGCUCCUAGAAGACAUACAUGCUGGAUCCUACGGCAAUCACACCGCAUCCAGAACGUUGGUCGGAAAAGCCUUCCAGGCAGGUUUUUAUUGGCCAACCGCGGUCAACGACGCAGAAAAACUGGUUCGACACUGCGAGGGAUGUCAGUUUUUCGCUAAGAGGACCCACGUACCCGCUCACGAAAUUCAAACCAUCCCGUCGUCCUGGCCCUUCGCUUGCUGGGGGCUUGACAUGAUCGGGCCAUUUAAACCAGCUCCCGGCAACUUCAAGUUUGUUUUCGUGUUAAUCGACAAGUUCUCCAAGUGGAUCGAAUACAUGCCUCUGGUCAAAGCAACCUCCGAGAAGGCUGUGGAGUUCCUCAAUCAAAUCAUACACAGAUUCGGCAUCCCGAACAGCAUAAUCACCGACCUGGGUACUCAGUUUACUGGCACCACAUUUUGGGACUUCUGCGAUGACAGGGGCAUAGUCAUAAAAUAUGUGUCAGUGACUCAUCCACGGGCCAAUAGUCAAGUUGAACGCGCAAACGGAAUGAUCAUUGACGCCCUAAAGAAAAGGCUGUACAACGAGAACGACAGAGCACCCGGUCGAUGGAUGAAAGAGUUACCUGCCGUGGUUUGGGGCCUCCGUACUCAGACCAGUCGAAACACAGGAGUAUCUCCCUACUUCAUGGUUUACGGCUCCGAGGCAGUCCUGCCGUCUGACAUAACCUUCGGAUCUCCUAGGAUUGAACACUUCGACCAGGCGACAGCCGACAACGCCAGAGAACUCGAAAUCAACUGCAUGGAGGAAAAGCGUUUGAAUUCUUGUCUCCGAACAGUAAAAUAUCUCACGGCAGUCAGGCGAUACCACAACAGGAACGUCAAGGACCGUUCCUUCGUGGUCGGCGACCUGGUACUUAGGUGGAGAACAAGCCAAGAGGGAAUGCACAAGCUCUCCACUCCCUGGGAAGGACCCUUCGUGGUCGCCGAAGUCACACGACCCACGUCCUACAGAUUGGCAUACCCAGACGGGACACGCGUGCCUAACUCUUGGCACAUAGACAAACUGCGACGAUUUUACCCAUAAGUUCUAAUAACUUUCGCUUGUAAAUAUCUUAUAAUUGUCAAUAUUAAAGUUUUCUAUUUUUUGCCUAUACUUUGUUGCACGCAGAACUCUUGGCAAACCUUCUGCAACGGAAGCUCUUAGCGACUACCAAGUCAAAUACGGUGACACGUCACUCAGAUAAUUAUACAGCGCUCAAAAUAACAGUCAUGACAAAGCAAACUUUAUUACAAACUUUAUAUACAAAGUUUACAAUAAAUAUCCUGACGGGCAGACGCUAGUCUAUUCCUACAGACUACCCUAUCGGCCUAACUGCUCGGGCUGAUCACCCGUUUGGCCCUGCUGCCCGGACGAAGGGGUCGGGCCCACCGGCGCCUUGCUGGUCGAGACCGCAGGCGUCGACCGCCCAUCUCCCGCAACAGACGCGCCCGACAGCUCCCUGGCCGACCUGUCUGAGCCUGGCUGGUCGGGGGGAGUGGCCGUUCCGCACAGAUUGAUGUCGCCGAUCACCAUCGACGACAAGUCCAGCAGACCACCCCGAAGCUCGUCCGCCUCCUGCGGGCCGACCUCCUUGGGGUACCCCUUCUCCAGCCUGGACAAGUCGACCAGGGGGUAAUGGGCGCGCACCAUGCUAAGGACAUGCGCACCAGCGAACUCCCCAGCGUCCUUCACAAAUUGCUGGAGCCAGUCCCACGCCCGUUGCGCCUUCUCCACCGGAGUCAACUUCGGCGCGCGGGGCUGGCUCUCCGGGAGCUCGGGACUGAUCAGAUCCAGGACCGGGGAUACUCCCUUCCAGAUCUUACAACAGUUGACCUUCCAGGAGUCCCAGUCCUUGACCAGCUCAUCCAGGUGCUUCUUGGCGUUCACCUUGAGCUCUGCAAGUCAAGCAGGACGUUAUCUUCGACAUAUCAAAAAACAAAGGGGGCGACAAGCGGCAGAUAACGAGGCGGUGCGUAUUACCAGAUAACUCCCGGUCCUUACGACCCAACUCCUCUCCUGCUCGACGCCCGGACUCCAGCGCACCAGCGAGCUCUUGGCUGAGCUGCUCCUUCUCCUAUCGGAGGCGCGUCACCUCCUCCUCCAGGUCUAAGUGAAUCAUAACCUGGUCAGCAAAGCGAACUACACAGCUACACGAAGGUGCUCGGAUCGCGUGACUAACCUUCUCGCUGACGGUACUGGUCGGCCAAGCGACGGGUAAGCUCGAGACAAUGCUCCUCUUGGGCAUUCAUCUCGGCCACUUUCUCCCCAACCUCCGAUCGCAGCCGGUCCACCUCCGCGGCUAGGGCCUUGUUCUCGGCCACAACGCCUUCUAUCUGGUCGAAGCACCGUUUCCGGUACUUCGCCGUUUUCAUCGCGCCCUACAAAACGAACAUAUGACAACCAAGCAAGACAACGUACAGAAUGUACAACAGUGCAAAGAACCGCUUACCUUGACUUCGUCGACGAGGCGUUUGGCCGCGCGCUCGACCCUGGCGGCCUCCUCGGUCUCGGCGAGCUCCUCAUGCCCGAUGAAGUGAUCCCCGCGUUGGCGCCACACAUACACGUGUUGGCGGCCAUCGCGGGGACGACCUUCAAUCUCCUCCACCUCAUCGUCGGAGGCCGCCUGGGUUUCCUCCUCACCCGUCGUUUUGCCCCCGGUAGCAGUCGAAGGCAUUACUGGCCCCCGGGCCAGACCCGGGGAGCCUGCAGUCGAAGCGUCCCCUGCUCGGGGCGGCGUGGGGACUUCGCUCUCCUCGGCAGGAGGAGGGGUCGGGGCUCUCCCCUCCCUUUCUGUGGAGUUCGCUGGGGGAGGUGCCCCUGUAGCCUCCUCAGCCCUGGCCGGGCUGCUCGCCGUGGUCGGUGCCGCGGCUGGGGGCUCCUCGGUGCUCACAGGCACGGCUGCAGCCGCAGGCUGCUCCGUGGUCUGCGGCGCCGCGUCUUCAGCAGCGCAGGCAGGCUCACCCGCCCCCUGGCCGGCGGCAUGGCCGGGGUUGACAUCCGACGCCGCGCUAAAAGAACAAAAGUACAAUAAAAAAAAAGCCAAAAUACGUAAGUCGAACACUUACAGGUCCGAUCGACGGUGGGUCGCGGUGAACCUCCUCCUCGUCCGGCCAGUCGGCACCUGCGCCCCCAUCUCGACAACGCGCGGAGCAGGAGGGUCGCUGGCCACCCGAUCAGUAGUGGCCGGCGCACUAUCUGGGCGGUUCCGAGGUCGUCGAACUAGCGACGGUGCGGCCUCCUCGUCGUUGUCGUCGUCGUCGUCAACGAUCCGCACGAGCCGACGGCGCUUCGGCGCUUGGCUGCUCUCCGCCGGCAACGUCGGUACCGGCAAAGGAUCUGCCGCCAGUGGCCUUUUCCCCGCCACCCUCUCCUCGGUGGUCGGGACGGGGCGGGCCUGGUCCUCCUCACUGCUGGUGUACCGAUCACACCGUGCAGCGUCCUCUAAAGGCGGAUCCUCCCUUGUGGGAUCCUCCAUCCCAGGCGCUAGUGACACAUACACUGUGCACCUAUCUACAUCUCCGAUCUACAAAGAGAAAUACAGACAAGUCAGCAUCCGACGAUAUAACGAAGGCUAAGGAGUCAGUCAGUAAAGGACAUUACCUUAGGGGCUGGUUGCCCCAGCUUGAAAGCUUGCACCCGAUCACUACCACGGAUGAAGCCCCCAUCAGUAAAGUUGAACAAUUCGUACAACAACUGCUGCACCUCUUCCUUCUCCAGGACCUCAGGCCUCAUCCUGGUCGGGUCCUGGCUUCCGGCGUACUCAUACGCCGAGUGCACCCUCUUCUGGCAGGGCAUCACUCGGCGGCAAACAAAGUUCCCGACCACCCCUAGCCCGUCCAAGCGCGACCAGUCGAUCAGCUUCAUCAGGUCUGCUACCUGUCGAUCGAAUUCUGGGCGGUCGGUCCAACUGACCCUCUUCUCGGGGAUGUACCCCAUGUCACAGAACGUGGAGCUGCCCGGCUCCUCCCUGACGUAGAACCAUUUCUUAUACCACUCGGUAAGAGAGGUAUUCCAAGGGCAGUUCAGGUACCGGUUCUUCAUCCCGUCCCGGAGAUUGAGGUAUACUCCACCUGCAAUCUUGGAGCCUCCAACUGCUCCCUUCUUCCUUAAACAGAAAAGAUAACGAAAGAGAUCCAAGUGCGGCUCUAUGCCCACAUAGGCCUCGCACAAAUGGAUAAAAGUGGAAAUGAGGAGAAUGGAGUUCGGGUGCAGAUUGCAAAUCCCGAUCUCAUAAUACAAAAGAAGACCUUGAAGAAAAGGAUGAACAGGAACCCCAAAUCCCCUCUUAAUGAAAUCUUCAAACACGACGAUCUCACCGGCGCGGGGGUCGGGGUAGCUCUCCCCCUCCGGUGCCCUCCAGCCGCCGAGCUCCGGGCUGUGCAGAAGCCCCAUAUCGACGAGGUCACCAAGAGAUUUGGUGGUGCUGCGGGAUUUCUUCCACUCCUUGGCCAUCAGUUCGGCCCUCUUCUUGGAGUCGAUCUUCGCCAUUGGAGGUGAGGAAGUGGACUUGAGUUAGGAAGAUGCCGGUGAUUGAAAGAGGCAAGAGUGGAAGGCUUGAAGGCAAUGGCAGGGUAAGCAGUAUAGGCGGAACUGUCGAGCUCUUAUAACCCGCAAAUCCACCUCUCCCACUUCCCGUAUUCUCGGGAAGUGGGCGGGCCGUGCGGCGGAUGUGGCGUUUCGGUUUUCAAUGAUUAUAGACGAUUAAUGCGGCGGAGUUUUCGUACCAAUUGAUGGUUUCCUUUUCUCAAACCAUGCAAAGGGUGGCUGCACAGUUGCCAGGCGCAACUUUUCAUGCAUCCAUCUGACAUCCCGUCAGGAGGCCUCGUCACGUCAACUUUAACUGGAAAGAUCUUUUCAAAAACAAGAAGACAAAUAUGGCAGAGAGUCAACAAUCCGGGGACUGUACCGACCACCGAGCACUUGAUGCUCGGGGACUGGUCGCCCAGUCUAUCGACUCAGAACUUCAAAGACUGUACCGACCACCGAGCACUUGAUGCUCGGGGACUGGUCGCCCAGUCUAUCGACUCGGAACUUCAAAGACUGUACCGACCACCGAGCACUUGAUGCUCGGGGACUGGUCGCCCAGUCUAUCGACUCAGAACUUCAAAGACUGUACCGACCAUCGAGCACUUGAUGCUCGGGGACUGGUCGUCUAGUCUAUCAGCUCGGAACUUCAAAAUAUCACACCAACCACUAAGCGCUUGAUGCUCGGGGACUGGUCGUCCAGCAUAGCAACGCAGGAUUCUAAGGAGCGCACUUGGUACUUGGGUCCUGAUGGUCAUACUAUUGUACACCAGGGGACUGGUCGAUCAGUCUGUUCAAUUGCAGACGGACUAGUAAAAUUAAUUUUUUAGACCUUGCUACAAGGCUCAUACUUCGUCUUCCAGCAAGCUCGGGGACUAUAUCGGUACGAUGCAUCUGGCGAUGCAUCUCAGUUGCAGAAUUUCUUUGAGGACUUUUCUUUUGACCCUGGCACCACGUACCUACGUCACCUACUACCAGGCUCGGGGACUAAGUGGGCACACUUCACCUUGCGGUGAAUAUGCUUGCUUUUUUGAGGUUUAUACUUUUCUUAAAAGUAAAGUGGGCACACUUCACCAGGAAAGAAUUUUUUUUAAAUUUAGAGCACCAUGCAUUCAUCGAACAACCAGCUUCUUCGAUGUCAACGUUGAUCAACUGUCUUUUGAGUUGGUCAAAGUACCGUUGCGACUGUUUGGGUGACUUUUUGUUUAUUGAAGACGUCAAGCCUCACUGAUCGAAGAAGCUCAAGAUGGCGUGUUACAUCACAAUACAUGGUGCUCGGGGACUAGCUGUGGGGGUAUAAACCCCUAUACCCUUACGGCUAGACUUGGGCCAGAAGGCUUGGCCCAUUACAAGACAAGCUCAAGGUUUGUUCCGACAGCUUGGAGUUUCGCGCAAGGAAACAAGACGUGGAGAUCAAGAAGGAUUCUAGUCGGUUAGAAUAGAAAUUGAUAUCAAACUAUCUAUGGCAAUUGUAACCGACUAGGAUUAGUUUCCAGAUCUGUAACCCUGUCCUCCGGGCUAUAUAAGGAGAGGCAAGGGACCCCCCUAGGACAUCAUAUUCUCUCAACACAAAUCAAUACGACCAGACGCAGGACGUAGAUAUUACGCCAACUCGGCGGCCGAACCUGGAUAAAAAGCUUGUCCGUGUCUUGCGUCACCAUCAAGUUCGUAGUUUGCGCACCGUCUACCGAUAAACUACUACCGUGGGUAUACCCCAAGGUAGACUGCCGACUAGCUUUCGUCGACACCGGCGCAGACUAGUUGGGGGCCAAAGGUGUAUGAGAUGGUGAAGGAUAUGGAUCACAUAGAGUUUGGCAAGAAGAAGAAGAAGGUACCAGAAGAAGAGGGGACAAAACAUACAAGGAAGAGAAAGCGGGACACGAAGGAGGACGCCGCACCGCUUGUCCCUUUCAAGAAGAAAUCGAUUUUCUUCAAGUACCUGUCAUACUGGAAAACCCUGAAAACACCCCAUGCCAUUGACUGCAUGCACCUCGAGAAAAACGUCUUUGAUAGCACCAUCGGUGUCCUAUUGGACAUCAAGAGCAAGAUGAAGGAUGGCCUCAAGUCACGGUUGGAUCUUGUGAACCAGGGCAUCAGGAAGGACCUUCACCCGGGUCCGACUCAUAACGGCAAAGUCGAUCUACCAGGUGCGUCUUACAACCUAAGGCAUGAUGAGAAGAUUGCUAUGCUCAAGUUGUUGAGGGGUAUCAAGGUGCCGACCGGUUUCUCUUCCAACAUCAAGAGUCUGGUGUCCAUGAAAGACCUCACACUAGCCGGCUACAACUCACAUGACUGUCACGUCAUGCUGACGGUGUUCCUUCCAAUCGUGAUUAGGGCUAUCGGUCCAGAAUACGUGAAGAUGGUGGUCACUCGGAUGUCAUACUUCUUCAACCGUAUCACCCAGAAGGUCAUCGGUAAGGCUGACCUGCCUGCCCUUAAGGAGUUCAUUGCAGAGACCCUCUGCCAGCUCGAGAUGUGCUUUCCCCCAUCUUACUUUGAUAUUAUGCCACACCUGAUGAUGCACAUGGUUGAUCAGAUCGAGCAACUUGGCCCCGUGUACCUACACCAGAUGUGGACGUACGAGCGGUUCAUGUCCACCCUCAGCAGAUACGUCCAUAACCGUGCUUACCCAGAAGGCUCUAUGAUCGAGGCAUACACAACUGAGGAGUCCGUGAACUGGUGCAUGAGGUACAUAAGAGAUGGGAGAGCGAUUGGGAUGCCUGUCCAUCAGCACGAGGGCAGAACCGCGGGGUUGGGGUGUACUGGACGCAAAGUACGCACCGAUAUACCAUAUAAAGAUGUGGAACAAGCUCAUUACAGUAUCCUUCAUCAGUUAGUGAGCAUGGAGAAGUACGUUGACAGACAUGUCGAAGAGAUCCGCGUCGCGCAUGAUGGACAACACACAGAGGAAUGGGUCCAGAAAGAGCACAAGAGCACUUUCCUAUCCUGGCUUAAAGAGCAACACAUACCCCUAGAAGGCUGCUCUGAUAAAGAUACAGACACCGUUAAGAAGCUUGUGCUAGGUCCGUCCAGCAGAGUCACCACGUGGCAAGGCUAUGACGUCAAAGGGUACCGGUUCCACACGAAAGAAAAGGACAAGAAGAGCGCCGCACAGAACAGCGGUGUUCGAUAUGAGGGUGUCGACGAGGCCACAAACUCGAGGACGCAAUACUAUGGGCAGGUCGAAGAAAUAUGGGAACUUGACUAUAGCAAAGACGUUCGCGUAACCGUCUUCCGAUGCCACUGGGUUAACCCAAAAACGGUUGUGGUGGACAAUUAUGGGCUAACCACCAUGAACCUCAAAAGUACCGGCUACAAAGAUGAUCAGUGGGUACUUGCAACCAAUGUCGCGCAAGUGGCCUACUAUAUCUAUCCGGAGGACACAAAGAGGCAUGUGGUUGUUUCAGGAAAGCAACGCAUCGUUGGAGCUGAUGGGGUACAGAGCCCAGAACAAUACAACAACUAUGAAGAGCUCGAGCUAUUUACCGAUCUACCAAAGAAGGUGAAGGCCAUCGAGGACCGUUGUAACAAGAGUGGAAUGAAGCCGUGGACCCGACAUGAUGGUGAGGUGCGGUCUGUGAAAGCACCUGCACCAAAAUGAGAGAACUAUUUAAGAUAAUGGGCAAUUAUUGUAAUACCUCUUUUUAAGACAAGUCUUAUAUUUAAUGAAGUAGUGGACAAUUAUACAUAGCACACACAUCUAUAUGUAAUGGAGUAGUAGUGGAUAAUUAUUGUUUAAUAUCUCUUUUUUAAUAUGUAAGUUUUGUAAUUCAGCUAUUUAUAAAUGUCAAUUUAUUAAUAUCCCUGUAGCUAUUUACAAUUUUAAAAUUAUCAAAAAAUUAUAUUAUAAAAGUAAAAAGCUUCUGUUCAGGGAAUAACCGCAGCGGGCGUCUUAACUUGCCCGCUGCGGUAAAUAUUAACCGCAGCGGGCGUCUUAAAGUGCCCGCUUCGGUUAAUAUUUACCACAGCGGGCAGGUUAAGACGCCCGCUGCGGUUAAUGUUAACCGAAGCGGGCACAUUAAGACGCCCGCUACGGUUAUUCCCACACUAUAAAAGCAGGCGGCCCUCUGCCCUAAAAUUAGUCGCGCGGUUCUUCCUCACCCGAAGGGCUGCCGAAUUUCGAACUCCCGCCUUCGCCGCCGCCGUCCCCGUCCACGCUCCAUCACCGUCACCCGCUCGAACUCGCCUGCUUCAUCCCCGUCCGCCGUCCGCCACCGCGGGACCUUCACCGGCGCUUCGUCACCGUCGGCCAUCCGCGGGACCUUCACCGGCGCCAUCCACCGUCCGCUGCACUUCGCCACCAGGUAUGCUCCCUCCUUUCUCUUCCCUUUCUUCCUUAGCGGAGCCGAGCACUUCCUCCCUAUUCCCUCCAUCGUUCAAAUCGACCCCACCCCCGCGGCGCGCGCCUCGGGUCCCCGUCUCCGCGGAUCUCCGGUGAGUCCUCUGUCACCCGCCAUCCGUGUAACGCAGCCGUGACCCUGCGGUAGGGGAAGGCUAAGGCCUUCACAACACCCUAUGAAGAAUACAAGUGAAGCAAAAAGAACCUCAGAAGCAAAUGUUUUUUGAAGUGUUUAUGUCUAUGUCCAGAUCUGCUUGGGUCUUUCAAGUUUAAUUGUAUACUAGAUAUGUGUAUUACAAUUAUAGAAUUCAUGUUUUAUGUUCUUAUUUUUUCAGUCUAUAACAAUUCCCUGAAUUUCAAUCAGCGCAAAAUGCUUUAUCUUAUAUGCUUGUAGGCAUCAAGCAGGUAGUGUCAAAUGCCAUGGUUUGUGUGGAGUGAUGCCUAAAUUUUCUCUCUCUUCUUUGCAUGUCGAGUGCAGUAACUUCUCAAUUUAUAUUAGACAUCCCAAAUCAUUGUUUCAAGUACUGGGAUGUUCAAUCUGCAAUGUGGCUUCUUGAUUUGAUUGAGUAGAUCUGUGGUCUCUAGUCAGACUUAUUUGUUUAGCUUAGCUCUAAAAUUUUAUAUUAUUCCAAGUUGUGUUCACGAGAACUCCAAAAUGUUCAAUCUGCAAUGUGGUUUCUGUUUGCAAGUGCCACAAAACUGAAAUCAUUUCGCCAGACCACAUCCAGUAGAACAAGUGCUAUGUUCCUAGGUAGACUAAAUGUGUAUGCUGCAACCGUGUAGGGUCACAAUUUUUGAAACAUUUUUAGGUUCACAACACGGAAGUCAUCAGAGUAUAUUUUGGUUCUUGUGUUUUACUUUGUAUUUGAUUCGUGUUCUCAAUGCAGCAUACACAUUUAGGUAGCAGCUGUUUUGUGUGGAUAUGAAUCUUGCAUAAUGUCUGUUACGAAUCUUGCACAGUUAACUGCUUUAAACUGAAAAAAUGGCUAUUCAUUUCAUAUCAUUUUAGCUGGUUAGUUUUUGCUCAAUUGAAGCUUUGUUCUCUUAUUUUUUAUGCUAAAACUGCCAGAUUAGUAGUUUUCUUUGUCUCUUUCUAUCUGUUAGGAGGAACUAAGCUUGCUGCAUUUAAACUAUAUAUACUUGGACAAUUGCAAAAAUUCCAGUAAAUAAUCAUGUCCAUCAUAUCCUAAGCCCACAGCUUGCUGCAUUUGCAUAAUUUGCAUUUGCAUGAUUUGUAGGGUAACUAUUUGUAAGAGUAUUGUGUUAAAUAAUUUCUAUGCUCUAAGAUAUUUGCACAUCUUUAAAUAGUUUCUCACAUUUGCACAUAGAAAUGGCGGACGACCCGUUCCAGAAUUGGAGGGAGCCUACCCCUCGCCACCGCAAAAGAAACGUCGAACCGAGGAAGACGUAGAUCCGACGUACAAUCCGGUGGAUGACAAAGCCCACAGUGCACAGAUCCCAGUUGUGCCUCGGGCGUUAGACUUUGGGUCCGGAGAAGAGAACAGACAUGAAGAAGGCCCCGCUCCCUCCACGACAACCUCAGAAUCCAAGCAGAAGCGGAGGAGGGGGCAACACGGGAGGCACCAAAGGGAGUUGACUGACGUGGUGCACGUGAUCCUUGAGGUGGGGCCAGAGGGAAACCCAGUGAGUCCGCAAGGGGUACUUGGCCGGUUCAGCAACCAAGUGUCCUGCAUAGUCAGAGAUAAGGUGUUGAUCACUUGGCCGAGCUGGCAUCAGGUCCCGAAAGACGUCAAGGGCAAUGUAUGGGGUGAGGUUACCCGGAAGUUCACUUAUCCCGAAGGCGCAGACAUGGAGAAGUGUUGUGAGUGGGCCAUGCACGUGGCGUCCUGUGCCUUUCGCAACUUCAAGUCGAUGCUGGCACGAGACUUUCUAAAGAAGAAGAAGUCACCAUGCGAGAAAUACACUAUGGUGAAGGAGCAUGUGUGGGAAGAAUUCUGCCGAAUGAGGACGACUGCUGAAGCAGAGGCAAAGAGCGCCAAGUUCAGUGCUCUGGCGAAACAAAACAAGUAUCCCCACCACUUGGGCAUGAUUGGCUAUGUCGGACAUAGGGCUCGAUGGCAGGCAGAAGAACAGGCUAGACAGGCUGCUGGGAUUCCUGAUCCAUACGAAGACGUCGAUGUUAGAGCUAAGGAGUUCAUGUAUGCCCGUGUUCUAAAGAAGCUAAAGCCAGGCGCGACCAAGUACAACAAGCCGCAAUAUGAGGAGUUGGAGAAGGCUCUCGUCCAGGCCGCCAAAUCUAAGGACAACAUCGAGGUCCGUAGGGGCCAUGACUUGCUGACCGAGGUCCUCGGAACCCCUGAGCAUCGCGGCCGUGUUCGUGGAGUCCAGUGCAAGAUGAGCUAGAAGUUGGUCGAGUCGUGGCAGGCCGACGCAUCCGCAUACAAGUCCAGGCAGAAGUACAAGGACACGUUGUAUCAGAAAGGCUUCGAAGAAGGCAUGGCUGAGGUGAUCAAACACUCAAUAAAAGAAGCCUUCACGAGCAAUGAGCCUAAAAUGGUGGCGAUGAGGUCACAGAUGUUUCGCGAGGCUGGCCUGGCCACGGCUCCACUUCAACAACCGCAAGGGCUGCCGAUGAUCGAGGGUCAACCAAUGCACUGGACCGAGGACGUCCAGAAAGACACACACGUCCAGCUCUUGAUCCCGUUCGGAAGAUCCAAGAAGAUGUAUAUAGCUGAGGGAAUGCUACAUCCCAAAAGCAUAGAUUUCAGCCCAGAGGAAAUCCCAAAAGGCUAUGUGGUUGUGACCCCACUCUGGAAUGUGCCAGAGCAAGAAGAGUAUGAAUUGGACCUUCCAAACAUCCAGCACGUCAGAUUUCUUAGGCAGGCCAUUGGUCAUGAAGUUCUAUGGAACAAGGAAGACAUUGAGAUCAUUCCACCGACACCAACUCCGACACCGACACCAGGAUCGCAGCCAUCAACUGUCGGAUCACAACGAUCAGUGGCUGGAUCUUGUCCCCCAGAUGAUCCUGAUGGUAGUGACGAUGAUGCUGAAGGCAAUGGCGAGGACAAGGGCAAAGGACAAGGCGAUGGCCAUGGCCAUGGCCAGGACAAGGAGAAGGCACAAGACAAGGACGAUGGCGGAGAUAAGGAGAAGGCACACAUAGAUGAGGGUGACAAAGACAUGGGUGCAACCUGUGCCCCUCCUCCAAAUAGUCCGCCUCGGAGCCCAAGAAGACAACAAGAAGGAGGCAUGGAGGAGGCAACAAGGACUAAGACACCACCGCCAACAUCUACUCCUACGCUUGAAGCUCCUCCUCCACCGAGCAAGAAUGCAGGCAGGACCGCCACAGUACUCCCGUACACUACUACGUCUGAAAGGUAUGAGACAAACAAACAUAAUAUUCUCGUAACCUUUCUAACACAUAAAAUGGUAAUAACAUUUGUAAGUAUGUUUUGCCAGGCCUACAAAUACUCUCCAAAUCAAUCUAUUUCCCGAGGCGGAAGACUGUCCUGGCCACUAUGAGCUUGGAAAGUUCAUGCUACCUAAGGCCCAGCUCAUCGACGAUGAAAAGUGGGAUACAAGGAAGUUCCACCUGUGGUAUAUGGAAGCGGCAAAAGCCGGGAUGACAGGUUUCACCAUCAAGAUUCCCUCGGAGUUGUUCCACUUGCCCGGUGCAGAUAUUCAGCUGCCUGUGGACUUCCAGGACAUGUACAAUCUAUUGCGGGAAGAAGACCUUGACAUCGUCCAAAUCACCUUAUUCUCUCUGUAAGUGAUGAUUGCGACCUUCAUAGACCAAUCUCUACAUUUGUAUUGGAGAACUAUAUGAUUUUUCGGACACGAUGACUUGUCCGUGCAGGUUGACGGUCACUAUUAGCAACAAAAGGCACCAUCCUAUCCUAUACCUCUCUCCAAUGCAUAUUGCUGAGAGAGUGAUCAAGGGUUUCCAGAUAACGGACCCAGAGUUGACCGUGCGGCAGAGGGAAAAGAAGUACGAAGAAAACAUGAAAGAGGAGAAGAAGAAAUUGUCAAGGUACAUCUUUGAGGUAAUGAAGAAGCUCAACCCGGAUGGGCCGCAUUGUAUUAUGGCUGCCUACCACUUUGGGUAAGUCGAAACAUCCAUGUAGAGCAAAAGUGGCUAGGGUCAUGCCUUCUCGUUGACAUAACCUAUACUUGUUUCAAUGGUGUAGAAAUGACCUAGCCGGCGGCCACUGGGUUGCCUUCCUCGUAUAUCCUCAAGAUGGCCGGGCUGUUAUAUUUGACUCGUUACAGGUACCGAACAAAAAGGGGUACAAGGCCUUCGAAGACUGCUUGAAAAAGUAAGCCACCGAGCUUCUUGAUCCUUUACGGUUAUCAUAUUCAAAUUGACGCUAACACUACUACACUUCGUGCAGCGCUUAUAGUGCAUAUCUCAAGGAUCCGCAAUGCUUGGAUCGGAGAACGGAGAAAUUCAAAAAGAGGCAUAAGCACCACCUCAAAAUCCGACGCGAUUUCCCCGUAAGUAUAUUUCAAAGGUAGUUUAAUUAUGCUUUUGGUAUAUAUGUGCUCUAAUGCUUUUGUAUCGAUCGUGCAGUGCGCCAAACAACCCUUGGGAUCAAAGGCAUGUGGCUUGUACACCUGCGAGAACCUAAGGGAAAGCAAGGAGUACACCAACAGCUGGAAGAAGCUCAAAGAAGCAGUGAAGAAUCGUGGAGAGACGAUGAAGAAUGAACGCCAAGCUUUUAAGCAAAUCAAGGCGGACAUCUGUAAGUUCAUCCUAGAGAAAUGCGUGCUCGAAGGCGAACCAUUCUUCGACAAUGAAGGUGAAUUGGCAGUUCGACCUGAGUUCGAGAAGCUUAGGAGAUGGGACACCAUGCUACGGCCGACGGAUUACACCCACGCAGUAGAAUUGUGAUGUGUAGCGGAUUCGUGGGUUUGUGUAUAUGUGGAUGAUGAGAACAACUAAGUGGAUUUAUAUAUUAUGUUGUGUCUUAUGUAUUGAACUUUCAGGCAUAUGUGUGUCUGUAUAUAUAUAUCUUCUGUUUCUAAAAUGAAAUCUACUUUCUGGAAUUUGUAAAUUGUUUAAAUUCAUAUUGAGCAAUGGUUCUGCAAUGUGUUUUUUUAUUUAAAAACACUUAACCGUGGCGGGCAACAUAAAGAGCCCGCUACGGUUAAUCUAUUAACCGUAGCGGGCGACGUAAAGAGCCCGCUGCGGUAAAUUGGAAUUAACCGUAGCGGGCGCUUUACGUUGCCCGCUACAGUUAAUCGAUUAACCGCAGCGGUCAGCGGCGCCCGCCACGGAAGUGGCCACGAUUUACCGUGGCCUUAUGGCCGUGGCGGACGCGUUUGCCCGCUACGGAAAAGGGAAAAUGGCCACCACGGUUAUUCUUUCUGCAGUAGUGACAAUCAAUUCCAUCAUAUGCCAUGUCCUGUUUUGAUCUUACUAAAUCUCUUUGUGAUGAGAUAGGCAAAAUGAUAUGUAGAUACUGGUGGGCGCAACAAGAUAAGGAGAAUAAAAUGCAUUGGGUCUCUUGGGAGGAAAUGUGUAGAAGGAAGGAGGAAGGUGGUCUUGGUUAUAGAGACCUUCAUCUUUUCAAUUUGGCUAUGUUAGCACGACAGGGUUGGAGAAUUUUGCAAAAUCCUGAUUCAUUAUGUGCGCAGCUGUUGAGAGCGAAGUAUGGCACAAAUGGCUCCUUGUUGCAGACUAGUGAAGGACCGGGUAUAUCCUAUACUUGGCGUAGUAUUGUCCGUGGACUCCAAGCAUUGCAAAAGGGACUGAUUUGGCGGAUUGGAGAUGGAAUGCAAAUUAAUAUUUGGGAAGAUCCAUGGAUAUCAAAUGGGAUUACCAGGAGGCCGAUUACACCUAGGGGUCAUACAAUAUUGACCUGGGUUGCUGACUUGCUGCAUCUGGACACGGGGAGAUGGGAUGAAGACCUGGUACGUGAUGUAUUCUGGGAGGAGGACGUGCGAUAUAUAUUCACAACACCAACCAAUCCAAAUCAUGAGGAUGUUUUAGCUUGGCAUUUUGACAAUAAAGGUCAGUUUUCGGUGAAGUCUGCCUAUCAUGUCUUGGAUGAUGAGAAGAAUCGGGAGAAAACUCGACAGCAAGGAGAGGGGAGUAGCAGCGCCAAUUCUGGGAACCAGAGAAACGCCAUUUGGCGCAAAAUUUGGAAACUUCCAUGCUAGCCCAAAGUGUGGCAUUUCCUUUGGAGAGUAGCGCGAAAUAGCCUUGCACUAAUGAUGAAUAUCCAGAGAAGGGGUGUGAAGCUCGACAUAAGAUGUCCAAUGUGUCAUCGAUUGGAUGAAGAUGGAGGGCAUUGUUUUCUAAAAUGCAAGCUGGUGAGACGAUGUUGGUCUUGCCUUUCACUUGAGCCGGUUCGUCAACAUCUAUUACUCAAGCAAUCGGCAUGGGAGGUGGUGACUGAAAUAUUGGCUUUGAAGGAAGAAGUCCAAAUCAAAACUGUGUUACUUCUCUAGAAGUGGUGGAGUGUGAGAAAUAAAAUUAACAAAGGAGAGAAGGGCCAGACUGGAGAGGAAGUUGCUGCUGAUGUGCUAAACUUGAUGUGUGAUCUGAGGGAGUUGGAGAUAAAGUCGGUACGGGAGGUGAUUAGGAGUGCUGGUUGGAAGGCUCCACCGCCUGGACAGCUCAAGAUCAAUUCAGAUGGAUCAUUUAUCCAGGAGACGUUACAAGGGAGCUGGGGCUUCAUUAUCCGUGACCAUGAGGGCGACGGGGUACUUGCAGGAGCUGGUCGCCUGGGAUCAAUCCCAGAUGCAUUGACAACAGAGGCAGCAACAUGUGCUCAGGCAUUGCAAGCAGCUACAGAUUAUGGUAUAUCGCACGUACAAGUGGAGGUGGACUCAACUGCUCUUCAGCAAGCUCUCCAAUCAUCGUCCAUGGAUCUUGUCACUUGUGGAAUGUUGCUCAUUGACACUCGUUCUUUGCUUUGUGAGCAUUUUGUAUGCGGUAAAAUUCUCUCUAUUCCUAGAGCUUGUAAUGGAUUAGCACAUAACUUAGCCAAGCUUGCUAUGUGUUGGGACCCGGGCAAUUACCAUGUUUGGGCAAGCCCCCUCCCAGAAUUUGUAAAAUCUUUGAUUGCUCACGAUGGCGUCGAGCCUAUGUUUUUAAUGACAGGGCCAUAGAGCCAGGUUAUGAAUAAAAAAAAGAAACAAUUCACAGUGGCAUUCACCAAUGUUAAUUUCCAUUGGUUAAGCUGUGCUAUAACGAUUCAUAGAGUCACCCGAUCCCACUCCAUACAAUGAACUUAACACCCAUAACCUACUGCAAACGAAUCAUGUCACUGACAGUGUUACCUCACAAGAGCCAAACAAUCAAAUUGUUUGAUAACUUUUUUCAGGGUACCACAACACUCAUUUCGUUCCAUUUAUGUUUGCAUUGGCACUUCACUUACCAAACAACACCGUAAUAUCUAUCCCAGUUGAUCAUAGCAAAUUCCUAAAGUUAUGAUCGAUACAUGUGGAUCUAAAUCAUUUUCAAGUAAAACCAUCGACGAACGAGCCAUAGUGAGACUUAACGAGAAAAGCUCAAUUGUUCCAAUAGUACAAAAAGAUGUUCUCAAUUUGGAUAGAACAAGUUUUUAAGAGUUCUUUGGAAUUAUGUGAUGAUACCACAAAAAAUGGCACAUGGAAAUAGUAACUUUUAGUGGUAAGUCAUGAAAGCUAAGGGAAGGUGGGAGCAGAUAGUUACAAAUAGAAGAUCAUAAACAAGGGGAAAGUUUAAUUUCCUAACACAUCAGACAAAAGGAACCCCAUGGACAUAUUGAGAAUGUAAGCUCCAAGUAAGAAUAUCUGGCAUAAGGAGAGGACAAUAUGAUGAAACAAAGGAUAUGGAGAAGAAUUUGGAAGAUCGAUGAGGCCAAGGUCCAUAAAUUUAAUGACAUCGAAUGUGAAGUACAGGAAUGGUAUAUGUAUUGCUACAAUGCUACACCUAGUUAUGAAUUGUGGCAUAUAAAAAACACUCAUGUAUGGUCCAUCUAGCGUGGUGCUUCCCUAUAGGUAGAGUUUUUGUCUUCCCCUAAAAUGUAGUACUGGUGAACUGGUGGCCGAUCAACAUGGAUCAUUAAGAAUGUUGUAGACGAUGUUGUAGUGAAAGCUUUGCAUAUCGAGGCCUUAGGGGUUGUACUUGAUACCUUCUAGUUGAGUCACGGAGGUGUCACAAAUUAAAAUAGGUAUGGUUAUUGUAAGUUUUUGGCUCAAAACUCAAGAGACUACACCUUGUGUACAUUUCUAAGCUAUUCCUCAAAGGAUCCAAGACCACAAGGGUAUGUUCCAUUAUGUGCUAUAGCGCAUCAAUCAUAUUUUUAGGAACAUAUAUAUAUAUAUAUAUAUAUAUAUAUAUAUAUAUAUAUAUAUAUAUAUAUAUAUAUAUAUAUAUAUAUAUAUAUAUAUAUAUAUAUAUAUAUAUAACGAUGCCAUAAAAUAGGAAAAAAUAGCAUGUUCAAGUUCUUGGAACAAUGAACAAAAGAUUUGUGAUGAACACCCACAUUCUUUUGCAAUAAGAUUCCUUUAACUCAAACCACAAGUAAUGAAGAACCAAGUGAAUGAAGAAUAAACAAAGGACAAUACAACAUAGAGUGAGUUGGAAAGGGUGCUUGGUGCACUCUACAAAAUUUCUUUUGCGUGGCCUUACCAUUUUUUGAUUGGAGGCGGGCACACCUCCCGACCACCUCCAUUGUUCCAAGCCAGGUCACCCUCCCAAAGGCCCCCUUGGUUAAACUUUAACGGAGGUAGUUCGUAUCCUCGAUUAACCAGGUGGUUGCAUAAUAACAACCACCUUCCAUUAAUCCAUUAACAAAGGUGGUUGUCUUAAGGUGUCUGUUUCUGUUAAUGAAUUAACGGAGGUGGUCAUUAUAAAAUAACCACCUCCAUUAAUGAAUUCAUGUGUACCAUGUCAAUGAUCCAUUAGCAAGGCUGGUGGCCACUCGUAGCCUUCCACGUGUUUGAGGGGUCCACUCGUCAUAGGCACAAAAGAAGCACAAACCAAAGGAGGCGGUGACACACGGUCUCUCUCUCUCUAUGAGCCAUGGCCUAUCUCUUUCUCAUGCCUUCCUCUGCUCCCUCACUGCUCCUUCUCUCUAUGUGGCAACGAAGCCGGCGGCCACAAAGGCCUCCCUCUCUAUUCCCUCUCUCUCUCUCUACAUGGCAACGAUGAUUGCAGUGAGGAGGAGACAAGCCGGAUCCGGUGGAGGGCAGCCAGAUUUGAUGGAGGCUAGCCCGAUCAGGUGAAGGAAAGCGCCGACGUCGCCGAUGGGCAGGUACAGUCUCCUCAUCUCUCUCUAUCUUCCUCUCUUUAUCUCCCUCACUCACUCUUCCCUCUCCCCUUUUGCAGAUCUAGUGCUGGCUGGAGCCGCACAGACGAUAGCGGCGAUAGGUGGAACCCUAGGAACCGGCACGAGCGAGGACGACUGAGGUGGCAAGAAAGAGGACGGUGGCACAUGAGCGACCUUCACGAUGUCGACGGUAGCCGUCACAGACCAUGGAAAGGAUGACUUAGAUGAUGGAGGCUCCAGAAACUGAAGCUAGCUAGCUCCAGGACCUAGAUUUUUUUAUUUUUUUGUUAACCGUGGCGGGCCUAGUCUUGUGACCGCCUCCAUUAAAGACCUAUUAAUAGAGGCGGUUGCCUUAUAGCGCCAGCCUCUAUUAAUGUUUUAAUAGAGGGGGGCAGGGGCAACCGCCUCCAUUAAGUCAUAAUUAACCGUGACCUAUCGUUGGAGACGAUUGCCCCAGCCCGCCUCCAUUAACGAAAAACAACCGCCUCCAAUAAAAAAAAUCUCUAGUAGUGGUGUAUACUUCUGUUGGAUAUAUUUGAUCUAGUGUGCUAAUAAUAUAUUUGUUAGUGACUUCUAUGUAUACCUAUUACAAGUUAUUUUGCAUGUUAUAUGUAUCAAAAGUUCCAAACAAUAGUUCAUAGGCACAUGUCAUUUUCAUUUAUCUAGCAGUUUAAGAAUUAAAUACAAAACCCUAUCACUUUCAUUCUAAUUCAUUUUCAUUAUUUGCAAAGGUGUAAUUCUCUUAAGGGACAACAACAUGUGUAUUAGGUGCUCAAUUAGAUCUAACAAAAUCUCGAUGCUGUUUUUGGGUGUGACAUGUGGUUGCAGGGACAAGAUGGUUCAAGCUUUGUCAGUUUCCCCGAGUAAAUAUUUAUGUCAUUCUAAAAAUGGCGAGUUAGUUUACAUCAAAGGUUUUAGAACACGUAUGAUGAUAUGCGGCAUUGGAGAGCAAUAAGUGCACCUUAUUGUUGCCCAAACAUAGUUCAUCUACUUGCAUGAAUGUUGUUCUCACAUGUACAAUAAUAUAAUUGCACAUUAAGUGGCCAAAGAUCAAUUUAGGUGUUGGUCUUUGUGUGUGCAUAAUUCCGAUAAUUCUAUCUACAUGAACAAUUGUCAUACAAAGUCAGGUUAAUUUAUCUAAUGACAAUGAAUUUAAAUUUUUUUUAUAUUUCCAUGAUAGAAAUAGUGUUUUUAAACUGUUAUAUAUAAUUCAAAGUGAACAUUACAACUAAGAUUACCAUCAAUCCCACUAUGCAUAGUCGCAUGGCUGGUCCCACCUAACACAACACACAAUUUUGGAUAUUAUACCAACAUGAUGAUGUUUGUGUGUGUGGUAAUGCUCAAUUAAUCAAGCAUCACACUAUAAGGACGAUUUAUAUCUUCUUACUCUCAAUCUUAGGGCAAAAUAAUUAUCGGGCACAUUUGGAGACUAGUAACACAUUAGAAUCUAGAAAUAUAUAAUUUAUUAUUUCUGAGAAGCCUCAGACAUCAGCCUAAAAACUUCAUUAUUGAAUUACAACUAGUAAGCAAUCUAAAAGAGGGCACCACCAAUGAAGGGUUGUUGGCAGGACGUUGCUGGGUUCGCCAGAGCAAGCUGGAUGAAUGGCAACAACUGUUGUUGUUGAAAGAGGGUGGCGGCAUUAGCCACACCCUGCGGGUAGAACGGCAGCAGCUGUUGUUGUGGCCAGAAGGUGGCAGGACUCACAGCACCUAGCUGGCUGAAUUGUAGUAGUAGUUGUAGCUGCAAAUAGGCAGCAGGGUUCACUGCAGCUAGUUGGUUGAAUGGGAGCAACUGUUGUAGUUGUAAGAGGGUGGCGGCGUUAGCCACACCCUGCGGGUAGAACGGCAGCAGCUGUUGUUGUGGCCAGAAGGCGGCAGGGCUCGCAGCAGCUAGCUGGCUGAAUUGUUGUAGUUGUUGCAGCUGCAAAUAGGCAGCGGGGUUCACUGCAGCCAGUUGGCUGAAUGGAAUAAACUGCUGUUGCUGGGAGUACGCAGCAAGGUUUGCCAACGUUACUUGGUUGAUCGAAGGUAGCACCAGUUGCUGCAGUUGUUGUGCCCUGAUGCUUUGUGCCAACAAAUUCACCAAGGACAACUGCUGCAAUAGGGCCGAUGGUUGUUGGAUGAACAAGGGUGAUGACUGUAAGAUGCUUGCUGCGAUUGCCUGUUGGAGCCCAUAGGGUUGUAGCAUUGGGUUUGCGCACACUGGUGGGAGGUAUGCGGGAUGAGGGGCAGCUAUAGAAAUUUGUGAGCAGUGCGGUUGCGGGAUAUAGGUCGCGGUAGCAGCACUUGCAAAAAGAGCAAGGAGCAUAAUGAGGGAAAAUAUCUUGGCCGCCAUUGUUGCUAUGUUGCUAGUGUAUUCCACUUUCUAUGUUGCUAGUUGGUCUCAAUAAUAUGGGUGAUGGAUUACCUACUGAUCUGGGGGGUAUUUAUACUCAUGUUAAGCCUUGUGGUUGUGCAAGAUUUAUUUUGGCUUUUACCAAAAAACAUAAUAGUAAGAUAAGCUAGAGAUGACGUGGUAUCUAGUUGGUUUUGACAUUUAGUUGCCACUUUGUUGGGUUAUACUUUAUACAUCUGCAAUACAAUCUCCACAAAAUACACUAAAUAAGUGGUUUUGUCCUCUUGGUAUUUUCCAAAUACUUGGGUGACAAUGGCUCGAUCCAUUCACCUUUACACAUGUGUAGCCUUAGCCACAUAUGUGCGGCUUGGUUAGGCUAUUUUGCACCAGAAAAAAAAUUCAUGGUGGUAUUCACCAAUGUUAAUUUGCAUUUGGUUAUUUUGUGCUAUAAUCGGUUCAAGGAGUCACUCGUUCCAUGUCGUACAAUGCGGUUACCACCCAUAACCUACCACAAAUGGAUCAUGUCAACGGCAGUGUUACCUCACAAGAACCAAACAAUCAAAGUAUUUGGGGAACAACAAUAUUCAUUUCCAUUUCACUUUUAUUGACACUCCACUAACCAAACAACACCAUAAUAUCUAUUCCACUUGAUUAUAGUCAAUACCUAAAGAUUGACAAAUACCUAAGUCAUUUUCAACUAACACUAUUACAGAAAGAUCAGCACAACCAGUUUGGAAACCUGCAUCGCCGCCACUUCCAGCACUCGGCAGUGAAUUAUCGACAGUGAUGGCCAUGGUAAUCAUGUCCAGUUAGUAAUUAGUGGUGGUUAUAUGCUAUCACCACCAUUUUGGAGUUCAAUCUAGCUGCGAUAACAUCAAUAUCAUCGCUGAGUUUAUUUUUUGUUCAGGCGUUGAAGAUCCUACAAAUGUUGUCGGGUUUAUAACAAAAUCCAACAAUGAUGGUCAUUUGGUCACCAUCGGUCAGUUGUACACACCGGCAAUGUUGAGAGUUCCUACACCACUGAUCAGUGCUGCAGUCUAUAUAUGACAAGCGUUGAUCACCACAGGUCAGUGGUCACUGUCGGCAGUGAUGAUCAAUUGAUCGACAUCUGUUCAAUUCAUACCCGAUGAUGAUCACUACUACAUCACCAAUGGUAGCUUGAGCUGGUGUCGAUGGCCUUCAUUGAUGGAAUGAUAUUGCAUCUGUGUUUUCACAUUUAUGAAAAAUUCUACUUAAUUAACUCCCUCAACUAUUGUGUGUUAUAUAUCGUGCAGUGUUUGAAGCAACCUUGAUAGGGAGUGCUAUAUGUCUAUUUAUGUUUUAACUUUGUAUGAAUUUUAAGACCCCUAAUUUAUGUUAGGAUAACCAUGUCAUAUAUAAUAUAUAAGUUAACAUUGGUUAUAAUAUGAUAGUGUACAAUAUAAUUAAACUUGUGUCAAAUUAAAUUUGAAAAUACAACAUUGAUAGACUUUUUUCUUCCACUGCAAAGCAAAGGAAUACUUAGAUGUAAAUAUAUCGUAACUAUAAAAAAUGUAUUGUCAGUUAUGAGAUUUGCAUCAAGUAUAGAGGGUCUUGAGUAAUGCUAAUACUAAUAUUAGUAUUAGUUAUAGAUAUAGACAAAUUAAUAAUAAUUAAUUAUAUUAAUUAUUACAUACAGGUUAGAUCCAAAUUUUAUCCUGUUGACGCCAUUUUUGGUAACGAGUCAAGGUAAUCAAAAUGGACCUAUUGGCAGUAAAGAGAUUAUUGCAUUAUGCCGAUAGGAGAGGUGCCGAUGAAGAUCGGCUGAUAGAGAUUGUUGCCGAUGGAAGGUCAUGAUCGGUGGAAAGGUUGUCUUUUAAAUUGAAUUAAAGAGUGUUGAUCAGAGAUGGUGUUUGCCAAUGUCGAUUCAGGGGUCAUUGCCGAUGAAGCCUGUAAUGAUUCAUUGCCGAUGUCGAUGAAGGAGGACAUGAAGACUGCUGCUGAUGAAGCUUGAAAUAACAGGGAACAUGCCGAUGGAGCAGGAGCCGAUGGAGAUUUCAUCGUGAUUGAGGCGGACACGAGAGUAGAUAGAUGUUAUUUUCUAUUUUUUAUAUUUGUUAGGGUAUACCUUACGUAAGAAUCCUGUUUUAUCUUAAAGUCGGAUCCUAGUCGUGUUUGGUUGUAUCUCUUUAGGACAGGGUAUAAAUAUAGACCAGAGGGCAAUGUAAUGAGACAAUCAAUCAAUAUCAAAUCCAAGUUUACUCCUACUUUUGCAUGUACUUACUUUUCGACGACUUCGUCAAUUCACAUAUUUUCUUUUUACGAGUUCUCUUGGUUCGGCGAGUUGCAUUGUUCUAGCGCAAAUCUCGACGAUCCUCGAGUUCCGUGUGAGUACCUCUUGACCGUGACUUUCGGGCGCAUCACUGUUGUCGGGACCAAAGUACUUGAGUUAGACCAAAGUACUUGAGUUAUCAUCCUUAUCGAUUAACAGGUCAAAUCGACUGACACGUCUAGGAUAUCGGAUUGGGUUUUGUGUUUGCAGAUUCACUUUUGCAUCAACAGAUCCCAUUUUCUUCCACAUGUUUUGCAAUCCAUCUUCGGUCUUUUUUCGAUCAUACUUUGGUUGUCAGCAGGACGUGAGUUCGAGUCAUACACGGGAUAAUUAAACCAAUUAUAACUCUAAUCUCUAGUAUAGUUAAACCAACUAGGACUAGUAUAUUCUGAAAAGUGGAAGGACACACAAUAGGAAGAGAAUGUGACAGACGACCAAAAUUUUGUAGAAAACUUUUUCACUCCUUAUAUUAGAUCUCUGUUCCAAACGCUAUGCUAUAAGGUUGGCUCGGGAAUGUAAUCUCCUAGUCUUGUAGGUAGAUUUGUGGCAUGGUGGACACUGCCCCAUAGAGCCCCCACGGCCCACAGAACACAGACACCAGCUUGCCGCAUUCUAUUAAGAUUCCUUGACGCUCGGGAGUAGACAUAGUACAUGAUUAGACCUUAAUAUUCUCACCAAUGUUAAUUUCUGUUUGCUUAAUUUGUGCUAUAGUCAGUUGAAGGAGUCACUCGUUCCUGUGCCAUUCGUUCCUAUGCCAUACAAUGCGAUUACCACCUGCAACCUACCACAAAUGGAUCAUGUCGACGGUAAUGUUAACUCACAAGAACAAAACAAUCAAAGUAUUUCUAAAAAUGGUGAGUUAUUUUACAUCAAAGGUCUGCACUGGAGAGCAAUAAGUGCACCUUAUUGUUGGAAAAAAAGUUCCAUCUACUUGCAUGAAUGCUGUUCUCACAUGUACUAUAAUAGAAUUACAUAUUAGUGGCCAAUGAUCAAUUUAGGCAUUGGUCUUUGUAUGUGCACAAUUCCCAUAAUUCUAUCUACAUGAGCAGUUGUCAUACAAAUUAAGUCAGGUUAAUUUUUCUAAUGCUGAUGAAUUUAAAGUUUUUUAUAUUUCCAUGAUAGAAAUAGUGUUUUUGAUACUUUUUUCUAUAAUUCAAAGCCAAUAUUACAAUUAAGAUUACCAUCAAUCCCACUAUGCACAUUCGGAAUGGCUAGUCCCACAUAACACAGUAUGCAUUUUUGCAAGAUUAUACCAACAUGAUGAUGUUUAUGUGUGGUAAUGCUCAAUUAAUCAAGCAUCACACUAUAAGGUUGAUUUAUAUCUCCUUACUCUCAAUCUUAGUGCAAAAUAAUUAUCGAACACACCAGGAGACAAGUAAGACAUUAGAAUACGGAAGCAUAAUUUAUUAUUUCUGAGAAGCCUCAGACAUGAUAGCCUAAAAACUUCAUUAUUGAACUACAACUAGUAAGAAAUCUAAAAGAGGGCACCACCAAUGAAGGGCUGUUGGCAGGACGUUGCUGGGUUCGCCAGAGCAAGCUGGAUGAAUGGCAGCAACUGUUGUUGCUGAAAGAGGGUGGCGGCAUUAGCCACACCCUGCGGGUAGAAUCGCAGUAGCUGUUGUUGUGGCCAGAAGGUGGCAGGACUCACAGCACCUAGCCGGCUGAAUUGUAGUAGUUGUUGCAGCUGCAAAUAAGCAGCAGGGUUCACUGCAGCCAGUUGGUUGAAUGAGAGCAACUGUUGUAGUUGUAAGAGGGUGGCGGCGUUAGCCACACCCUGCGGGUAGAACGGCAACAGCUGUUGUUGUGGCCAGAAGGCGGCAGGGCUCGCAGCAGCUAGCUGGCUGAAUUGUUGUAGUUGUUGCAGCUGCAAAUAGGCAGCGGGGUUCACUGCAGCCAGUUGGCUGAAUGGAAUAAACUGCUGUUGCUGGGAGUACGCAGCAAGGUUUGCCACCGUUACUUGGUGGAUCGAAGGUAGCACCAGUUGCUGCAGUUGUUGUGCCCUGAUGCUUUGUGCCAACAAAUUCACCAAGGACAACUGCUGCAAUAGGGCCGAUGGUUGUUGGAUGAACAAGGGUGAUGACUGUAAGAUGCUUGCUGCGAUUGCCUGUUGGAGCCCAUAGGGUUGUAGCAUUGGGUUUGCGCACACUGGUGGGAGGUAUGCGGGAUGAGGGGCAGCUAUAGAAAUUUGUGAGCAGUGCGGUUGCGGGAUAUAGGUCGCGGUAGCAGCACUUGCAAAAAGAGCAAGGAGCAUAACGAGGGAAAAUAUCUUGGCCGCCAUUGUUGCUAUGUUGCUAGUGUAUUCCACUUUCUAGGUUGCUAGUUGGUCUCAAUAAUAUGGGUGAUGGAUUACCUACUGAUCUGGGGGGUAUUUAUACUCAUGUUAAGC
rnacentral:lncRNA from 1 species